CGGGGGCACCUUCCUCUAUCAAAGACUGGAAGCGUUACUUCUUCUUUGUAAAGAACCUGAGCUUUCCCCCUCUGACAUGGAGGGCGGAGACUCAGGUUUCGGAUCCCACUUCCAGACCCGCUUCCUGUAGCUGAGCUCAGCCGCCUACUCAGCUCAGGCGAGAAGCUGGAGGUGAAAGAGUUCAGCAACGCCCAGCUUUGGGCGGCGGGGUUGAUCCGAGCCAACCCCUCAGAUCCCUCGCCAGAGAAUAGGCCGCUCUCACCAGAUGAGCUGACCUCCUGUAAACGACCUGGCCUUCCUUUUCUUUCUCCUCUUGGUUUUAUGUACCCACUGACCUUCUGGUCUUCUGUUCUUUGCAGUGAAGAGGUUUUCUUCCCUUCUCACCAUCGGAGGAGCCAGCAAUCCAGGUGCUACUACCCAGCCCUCCUCAGCCAUUCCGGCCAGCUCGACGCCAGGUCCAACGCCUCAGCCAGCUCCUGCCCAGUCCGCCAAAGCUGUCGAGGCGAGGAAAAAGAAGAAGAAGAAGACAACUGCAAAGAGGGCUAGAGUGGAGACGACCUCCUCCCCAGUUCAGGAAGAGAGGUCGACGCCGGAACCUGGUCAGGGCGGUCACUACGGCGUGAAUACCGCCGAGGAGCAAGCUCGUGCUGGCGCUCCUCCUAAUUUAUGGCAGCGCCAGAGCUCCACCCUGCUGUUCGACCCGCAGACGCGGCUGAUCACGCACCAACACCCUAUGCACUUCUGCCCCCAGUGGAAGCUUUCCAUAAACGACCGAGCUCAAUUCCCUGAGGUGGCCAGGGAGCUUGCUCAUGGGGCCAUCCUUACAAGGGACCUUAGCUUGGUUAAGGCCAUGGAGGCAUCUGACCUCCUCGACUAUUAUUACACAGGCGCGGCCCAGGUGAACUUGGUUGGAUCCGAGCUGGCCAAGCGCUACGAGGGCCUCCUCCCCCUGAUGAGCGAGACGAGGGCGGCCAACGAGAAGCUGCUCAGCCAGAACGAAGCAGUUGUGGCCGAAGCUGAAGGCCUGAGGAAGCAGCUCGCCCAAGCUCACUCCAACUUCGAACUGGAGCUGAAGAAGAACUCCGACCUGACCUCUCAGCUGAAUGAGGACCAGAAGAGGAGCACCGAACUAUCUGCUCAGGUCGAGGCGGCUAGGACUGAGGGAGGCCAAGAGGGCGUACGGGCCUUCCUCAGGUCGGAGGAUUUCAGGGGCGACCUGGCCAUCCUAAACACCCCAGUGCUGCAACAUGGGUAUUCCCAAGCCCUGGAGGAGGUGCAAAGGCUGGGCCUGCCUGGGUUUGAUCUGGGCAAGUUUCCCAGUUACAACCCCUUGGCCGUGGAGCAGCUCGACCGCCUGGUGGAAGGCUACACGCACGGACGAAAGUUGGCUGACCUGGUCGCCGAUCCCUUGCUGCCAGUGACCACUCCUGAAUCCGAGCAAGAGGAAGAAGAGGGCGAGAACUAGAAGAACUAGAGUAGGAUUUUUAGGGCUCAAACUGUUAGUAGACAGUUCAUUUUGUAAGAGCUCAGACCAUUGUACAGUUUUUGCUUGAAUGAAAUGAAGAACUUUUCCUUUGUUCCAUACUUAGCCGCAUUUGUAAAACUUUUCGUCAUAACUUUAAGAUACAUCAGUUCGGCCCAUCGCCGACCUAAAUGAGCUAUCCCCUAUAACAAAAUAACUUAUUAACGAAAAACAUCAAUAUUCAUAAAAGUCUUGACCUUGAAACGAGCUAUCAUGCGCGAUUUUAACGAAAGAUCCUCAAGUUGGAGUUGUGCCAGGUACGAGGGACCUCCUCCCCGCCGAGGUGGGCUAACUUGCAGUACCCAGCUCGAUCUGCCUCUUUCACCACAUAGGGACCCUCCCAGUUUGGGUCCAGCUUGCCUAUGCCCUGAAGCCGACUUACACUGUUCUUCCUCAAAACCAGGUCCCCUGGCUUAAAAGACAGAGGCCUUACCCUAGCAUUGUAGUGUCGCGCGAUCUGCCUUUUAUACUUAGCCAUACGUAUAGCCGCCUCUUCUCUCCUUGCUUCCAGCAGGUCCAAGUUAAGACGUAACUCUUCCUCAUUGUCCCGAGCUAUGAAAUUCUGAACCCUACCCGAAGGAACUCCUAUCUCCGCAGGGAUCACCGCCUCUGCUCCGUAGGUCAGAACAAAAGGAGUCUCCUGGGUAGCAGUUCGGGGAGUGGUUCGGUAAGCCCACAGUAUGGUUGGCAGCUCUUCCAACCACCCAGUUCGAGCAAACUCCAUUCGUGUCUUCAAGCCGUGCAGGAUGGUUCUGUUGACGUUCUCCACCUGGCCAUUGGCUUGAGGGUGGCCUACCGAAGUGAAGUGCUGCCGGAUCCCGAGCUCCGAACACCAGCCUUGAAGAGCACUAUCAGUGAAUUGGCGUCCGUUAUCUGAGACCAGGACACGGGGUAUACCAAAUCGGCAAACGAUGUUUUUCCAGAGGAACUUUUGCACCGACCUGCUGCUAAUGGUAAUAAGGGGCUCGGCCUCCACCCACUUGGUGAAAUAAUCUACAGCCACCACUACAUGCUCAUAACCCCUCGGAGCUCGGGGAAAAGGACCUAACAGGUCGAUUCCCCAUUGGAAAAAGGGCCAAGGGCUCUGAAGAGGCAUCAUCUCCUGGGUUGGAGCGUGAUGGAUCGGCGCGUGCAUCUGGCAGGACUUACAUCGAGCUACCAGCUCGGCUGAAUCCGAGAACAUGGUCGGCCAAUAGUGCCCGGACAGCAUUCCCUUCUUGGCCAAAACCCUUGGGCCGACGUGGUUUCCACAGAUGCCCUCGUGCAGCUCACGCAGGAUGUAGUCUCCCUCCUCCGGAGUGAUGCACCUCAGCAACGAGCGUAGGUAAGAUUUCUUGUAAAGUACCCCAUUCGAGAGCUCGUACCCCCGCGACCUGAGGAGAACCCUCCGUGCCUCUACUCGGCUUGGAGGGAGCUCUCCACCAGCCAGGUACCGCACUAUGGGAUCCAUCCACGAGCUUAUUACCUGAAUAACAGCUGCUUCGAGCUGGUCAUACGCCCGAUUUCUGACAACCUCCACCAGGACCUCUUUGUUCAACGUGCCGACCGAGGUGGAAGCUAGCUUGGACAGAGCAUCCGCUCUCUUAUUCUGGCUUCGCGGGACCUGCUUAAGCGUGAAUGCCUUGAACUGGGUUCUCAGCUCAUGUACCUUGGCGACGUAUCUCCUUAAGGGCUCCUCUUUAACUUCGUAACUUCCCCCGACCUGGUUGACUAUCAGCUGUGAGUCGCUGUAGACUUCUAUUGACUCAGCCCCCAGCUUCCGGGCUAUCAUCAUCCCCGCGAUCAGAGCUUCAUACUCGGACUCAUUGUUGGAGGCUCUGAAAUCAAAUCUCAGGGCGUAGGCCAACUCAUCCCCCAAGGGGCUGGUCAGGAGAAGUCCCGCUCCGCAUCCGUCCUUGCUUGAAAAUCCAUCCACGAACAGUGUCCAGGUCGGGAUGGUCUGAUCGACCUGGCCCGUAGCCUGUUCAGCCUCAACAGCCUCUUUGACCUGUUCGGCCUUGGCUUCCUUUGUGGCCUGUCCGACCCCGGCAAGUCCCUCGGCCUGCUUGGCCUCGACUGCGUCUAUGGUCUGUUCAGUCAUGGAAGUCUGAGUGCCUUUCACGACCUCGGCAGCUUCCCCGACCUGCCUGGCCUCAGCUACGUCUUGGGUCGACUUGGUCUCGGCGGCCUGCGCGACCUCGACAGUUCCUCUGGCCUGCACAGCCUUGACUGCGCCACUGGUUAGCUCGGCUUGCAACUGUUCUUGCCCAAAGGAGAUUCCUUCGGCUAUGAAAUCCGCCAAUGCUUGAGCCUUAAUGGCCGUGCGGGGUUGGUAGCUGAGAUCGUAUUCAGACAGCUCCACGGCCCACCUUACCAUUCUUCCUGAUGCAUCAGGCUUUGAGAGAAUUUGCUUGAGAGGUUGGUCGGUCAUGACCACCACGGGGUGAGUUUGCAAGUACGACCUGAGCUUCCGGGUCGCGUGCACCAAUGCUAGAAUAUACCGCUCAAUUGAGGUGUACCUCUGCUCCGCCCCCUGCAAAGCUCGGCUGACAUAGUAUAUGGGUUUCUGAAUUUUACCUUCUUCCCGAACUAGUACCGCACUGAUCGCCUCCUCCCCAACUGCUAGAUAGAUGAAUAAGACUUCUCCUUGUGCGGGAGAGGUCAAAGCUGGCAAGCGUGCGAUGUGGGCUUUGAGCUCGUCAAACGCGAGCUGGCACUCGGGAGUCCAUUCGAACUGGGGACCUCUUCGCAGGGCCCUGAAGAAGGGGUAAUCCCGAACGGCUGACUUCGACAGGAACCUGUUCAGGGCCGCCAUCCUGCCAGCUAGCCGCUGGACCUCUUUUAUGUUUCGGGGAGGAGCCAUGUCCAUGAUAGCUUUCACCUUGUCGGGAUUAGCUCUUACCCCGUGCUUGGAUAUCAUGUACCCCAGAAACUUGCCCGACCUAACCCCGAAGGUGCACUUCUUGGGGUUCAGCCGCAUUCGCGAGCUCCGUAGGACGUCAAAGAUUUCUCUGAGGUCGUUGAUGAACUGCUCCUGAGUUCGGCUUUUCACCAGCAUGUCAUCCACGUACACCUCCAUAUUUCGGCCGAUCUGGUUUUUAAACAGCUUGUUGACCAGCCGUUGAUAGGUCGCGCCUGCAUUUUUCAAUCCGAAUGGCAUAGUGGUAUAACAAUACGUACCGUAUUCGGUGAUGAAGGCAGUCUUCUCCUGAUCUGCCUCGUCCAGAGCAAUCUGGUGAUACCCCUUGAAGGCAUCCAAAAAGCAGAAGAUCUCGUACCCAGUGGUCGAGUCGACUAGCUGGUCGAUGCGAGGGAGGGGGUAACAAUCCUUCGGACAGGCCUUGUUCAGGUCGGUGAAAUCUACGCACAUCCUCCAGGCCCUGUCCUCCUUUUUGACCAGCACAGGGUUGGCCAGCCAGGUCGGAUAGUAGAUCUCCUUCACAAUUUUGGCCUCCAACAACUUGCCUACCUCUUCCUUGACGAUCUCGUUGCGCUCAGGAGCGAAGUUCCUCUUCUUUUGCUUCACUGGCCGGAUGUUUGGGUCAACGUGCAGCUUGUGAACUGCCAGCUCGGGAGAGACUCCGGGCAUGUCAUCAGCGCUCCACGCGAAGAUCUCGGCGUAUUCCUCCAGCAAGGACUCCAGAGCUCUCCGUGUCAGCUCGCUCAGACCAGCUCCGGUUUUUACCACGCGAUCAGUUCGCUCGGGGCAGAUCGACAACUCGACCAGACUCUCAUCCGUCUCCAACCUUUCCUCCUUUUCAGCAGGCUCCCAGGGCUCCAGACAGAUCGUCUGGGCCACCAGUUUCUCCUUACCUUUGAGGGUUGCAAUGUAACAGGCCCGAGCUACCUCCGGGUCCCCCAGCACCUCGGCCACCCCCUCAGGCGUCGGGAACUUCAUACUAAGGUGUAGGGUCGAGCAGACAGCUCGGAGAGCGUUGAGGGUUGGUCGCCCUAGUAUCAUAUUGUAGGAAGACGGCUCCUUUACUACCGCGAAAUUCACCGGGACAGUUCGGCACUUCGGUGACUCCCCUACCGUGACCAUGAGGGUUAUCAUUCCCUCUGGUCUAACCGGCGGACCUGCAAAACCUAUCAAGGGAGUCCGAACUGGGAUGAGCUGCUUGUCUUCCAGCUGCAAUUCCUUGAAGGUUUUGUAAUACAGCACAUCGAUGGCACUCCCAUUAUCGAUGUACACCUUCUUUACCUUAUAGUUGCACGUGAUAACUUCUAUCACGAUCGCCUCAUGAUUAUUAGAGGCUAAGGGUACCGCGUCCUCUGGCCCGUAGAUGAUUUCCUCGUACAUCUUCAAACGUUUGCUCGAGCUUUCUCCGCUAGGGGGAGGUCGGUUGUUUCGUUGAGCCGUGUGGAUGUCUCCUCCAGCAGGUCCCCCUGCAAUAGUGUUGAUUACUCCAGCUAGGUUCUGAACCCCCUGCUCCGGAGUACGAUCACGAGGACCUCGAGGCCGGUCGUGCGAACUGGCCGUCCGAUCUCGCUUGAACCCUCCUGGCUUCUGGUCCGUUCGCCCGUCACGGACGAACUGUCCGAGAUGACCUCUUCGUAUCAGUUUUUCGAUCUCCUUCUUAAGGUGUCGACAGUCCUCAGUAUCGUGCCCGACAUCCCUGUGGUAAGCACAAUACAAACCCUGAUCUCGCUGGGUUUUGUCGCCCCCCAGCGGCCGAGGAGGACGAGAGAUCCCUUGCUGUUCCAUCACGGCCAGAACCCGAGCCCUGGGCGCGGUGAGCGAAGUCCAGGUCUUUUCCUUCUCCCAAGGUCGGCUCCGAGGUAAGCGCUCGGAUACGCUCUUUCGGUCCUGACCUGGCCGUGACUCCCCCAGGUCGGCACCCCUCUUUCGCUUGUCAUCCCGCAACCUUUCCUGGGCGCCCUUCAGACGGUUGGCCUCCUCGGCAUUCGCCUUCUCGUGGGCUCGAUCUAGCAUCUCCCGGACGGACUUGGGAGGUCUUUCUACGAACUCCGUAUACAACUUCUGCUUGCGCAACCCGUUGACGAAGGCAGCCAUCACCACCUUGUCAUCUCGGUCCCGCACCUGAAGGGAUUCGUUGUUAAACCGUACCAUAUACUCACGCAAUGACUCCUCGGGCCCCUGAUGGACAGUCAUCAGAUGAGCCGUGGUUUUGGAAUAAGCGCGGGAGGAAACGAACUGGGCCGCGAACAGCCGCGCGAGCUGGCUGAACGACCGAACUGACCUGGGAGGCAAACCCUGAAACCAUUGUCGGGUCUUUCCUUCCAAGAACAUCGGAAAGGUCUUGCACCUGACCGCAUCAGCAGCUGUCUGAAGGCGCAUCUGAGUCAGGAAUGCAAACAAGUGAUCCUCCGGAUCUGUGGUCGCGUCGUAGGACUUCAUGGAUGGUAUUUUGAACUUGGCAGGCAGAGGGUAAUCUUCGAUAUCCGGUAUGAAGGGAGAUGCAGUGUACCUAUCCGCCUCUGGAUCCAGCAGGAGAUCCAGUUCAUCCUGGACCUGAUAAUCCUCCUUCCUGUGAGGGAUCUCCAUCCGAGAAAGCCUCAGAACGGGCUCCGGAUGGCUAGUUCGGGAAUUCCUAUGAGAGGGCUCUGGCACCUGGACCUGCUCGCGUGUAAUCUCCCUUCGCGCCCUCUUCGACCUGGGGCUUCCAGAUCGAGAUUCCGAACUCCCUGUUCUGCCCGUUUUUCGCACCCGACGCUCCGGACUGGGAGGGACUCCAGAUUGUCCCUUCACCGCACCAGAUUGUCCAGAUUGUCCCUUCAGGUACGUCACAAUAGCCUCAAAGGUAGGCAAGUUCGCGGCAACCGACUGCACCAGUUGUUCCGGCGAGAUCUGCGAGAGCUCGACCCUUACCUCCCCUGUGUUGGCUUCCUGGUGAACUGGUUGGGGGCCGCCCUGAGCGCCCCCUUCAGUACCAUCCACAUUCCUCUGAGAUCUAGUCUUCGGCAUGUUGUUCGCGAAAAAAAGAGAGAAGAAAACGUUUCCCACAGACGGCGCCAAUUGAUGCGACUGCCGAAGUGAUGAUCCGAAUUGAGCUAGGUUCGGAGGAACGAGCUGGUUGAAUGUCCGACCUGCACGUGAGCGAGCUGCGGGGCUAGGUCCCCUGAAGCAACUCCGACGAUCAAGUCAGAACUGGCUCGUAAAUAAAAGAGUAGAGAUUGUACUAUCAGUAGCGUACCUUGUGUUUCUUCUGGGUGUGGUAUUUAUAGAACACCAGGUGGUAGUUUCCUGGUAGGACAAGGAGUCCUCAUUGGAGAGGACUAGUUUCUAGGGCUCUACGACCCAGGUCUGAAGACGUGGCCUUCACGGUCCAUCAAGCCCAUCUGCCUAAGAGGCGACGCCCGCAGGGGGCUGCAAGCUGACCUGACACUCCAGCCCAGCCCCUCCAGUCCGAGCUCGUGGGCUGGACUGACGUGUGUAUGGACCGGGCCGAUGUGCGCCUGGGCCCCACUACAAUUAUCGUUGAAAAAUCAAAGAGGAAGCAUAUUGCAUAGGGAAAACAAAGAGAAUUAUCACUUGUUUUCUGUUGUUAGCAAAAGGAAGACGAGGACAUGUACGAAAAAGUGUGGAUCGCACUUUCUUCUCUAGUUAAUUGCUGUCUUCGAAUAUAACUGUAGCAUUUCGAAGAAAAACAAAAAGGUAGUAGCAGUACUGAAGUUCUUCAAACUUCAAACCCUUUUGCAUUAAGUUAGGAUAGCUGGUGUAUUGAAUUUGUCUGCCCGAUCUGUUGCAUCCAACCUGCAGAUGUCUACUCCAAAUUCUGUUAAAGAAGCAAAUAAUGCGGUGAUGAUGACGAAACCAUUCAUGCCAGCUCCCCAACCAACCCCGUAAUGUCUUUUCUCAUUCAACCAGCCCGAUCAUGUCACUUUCCCUCCCGUGUGGGCGGGUGUGCAUUCUCUUACUGAAGACCUUUUCCUUUAUGAGGGAGAGCAAGAGAAACUAACUGUAGAGUGUAGAUACCAUAAUAUAUCACACCGUGUUGUCUUUGUGAAAUGGAUAGAAAGGAACUUGAUACAUUUCCAUUCAAAGUCUCUUACAUAUUAUGAUUUCUUGUAAAGUGUUAAAUAUGUUAUUUUUGUCCCUAUUAAGUUACAUCCACCUUAAUUUAAUGACAAUUGAAAAAUACCACCAUACAUCAUUGUAAAAUAAUUGUAAUGAAGAAAAUAUUGGAACGCUUCUCAAAUUGAGUAUAGGUAGAGACAUUAAAAUAAACCUAAUAAUAGCUGUAGUUGUGUGCUCUGGGAUUUCCCCUAAAGCCUAACCAUUGCCAGAGAUUAUUAUGAGUACUUAGUAUUGUAGCCAAAUCAUAGCUACAAGUUGUUCGGGACUAUUGCUAUAGCAACCGUCCUGAGCCCUGCGGCCCUAGUCUCUCAGACAUUAGACAUCAGCAUGACAACUUUGGAUUUGCACACUGUUACUUCCUCGCCCUGAUCUGACGCUCUAUCGUUUAUAUCAUCUGUACUUUUCUCUCCAUCUAUUUAUAUCCUAAGUUGGAGCCCCCAAGUUUCACACAAAUCAGUGCGGCAUUGCAAUUGUACCAAAAAGGUGAAAAAAAAAUGUCUCCGUCAAAUUCAACCAGAUGGUGUCCAACCCCAGAGCAGCUAAUGAUUUUGGAGGAAAUGUAUAGAGGAGGCAUAAGAACACCAAAUGCUUCUCAAAUACAAAGGAUCACGGCCCACCUUUCUUUCUAUGGCAAAAUCGAGGGGAAGAAUGUAUUUUACUGGUUUCAGAACCACAAAGCCAGGGAGAGACAGAAGCUAAGAAGGAAACUGAGCAAGCAACCAUACCAACAACAACUAUUACAGGAGCAGCUGUGCCUCCAUCGAUGCCAUAAUCAAGAAAACAAGUUUCUUAGCUCAAAUGAAUCUCCUCCUCCUGCUCUGCAUCAGCUAUCCCUCGACAAGUCAGCUGAUUAUCUUCAUCCGGUAAUCUUAAAUCUAAACUAAUUGCAUCAUUUUAUUUUUAUUUAGACGGCUGAAAAUUAAAAUGCAUGCAAGAGCUAAGCUAGUGGGCAGGUUUUAAGUACAUUAACAGCAGCACAAAUUCCAAAUAAUUUUUUUCCUUUCUUAUUUUUUUAAGUGGUGUAAUUGUCAUAUCUUAUGGUAUUUCCGACAUUCUCGUUUACUUAGAGUAGGACUAGAAGACAUAUUUCUUGACUCCGUUAAAGCAAGGGUGACCUGUAACGCAAGUCUUUUAGUUUUUUUUUUUUGUUUUUUCUGGCUAUUCCGUUUGGGAAAACUUGGAUCCUCGGUCCAAGUCCUAAUACAAAUUCAUGGAAGUACCAAAAAGAACAAACGAGGUUCGGAAGAUUGUAAAGUUAGGCAAAUUUUCAGUCUGCAACUAUGUGUGACUGGAUCAUGCAUGCACACUAAAAAUGUUCUUAGGCCUUUUGGAUCUGUGUCGAAUGAAUUGGAUUUGCUAUCCAGCCAUCAACAGAUAAAGGAAGUAACUAAUUGGUUAUCUUUAACACUAACAGGGUGGAGUUGGCAGUGCAGCAGCACAUAUGACCAGCUGCACAUGGAAGAGGGAUCCUCCAAACAUGUACGAAUUGCAAAAUACUAGCAUGAUGAGAAGUUAUGGUGAUGAUUGGACGAUGAUGAUGUUGAAGAUGAGAGACGCGGGUCCUACUCAUUAUCCCUCUUGCUGCAGCAGUAAUAGACCCCUGAAAACCCUAGAACUCUUUCCCAUCACAACCCAAAAUGUCAAAGAUCAUCAGGCCACCACUUCCAACCCUAGCCGUAACUCAUACUCGUGAAAGUUGGAAAAGGUAUCCCAUAUAUGUAAUCAUGGCACGUCUUGCCUAACUUCAAUGGAUCACAUGUAACAGAAUAAUAAAACGGGCAGGUUGCUUAAUUCUGUGUAUUUCAUUGAGAGUUAGCUUUAGGUACGGCGUGUGAUGGAUGACAUUUAUGGGAUACCAUUUUCAUGACUUAUGACUUAUGUACGAUAAUAUCUUAUCUCUUUUAUUUUAUUCCUAUGUUGGAUAAGAAUGGAGAUAGAGAUGAGAAUAGUAUAGGCUAUAGGCUUGAAUUUUUCAUCUUCCAGUGAGUACUAUUACUUUGUUUAUCGUGUUGCGUGGUUUCUGUUACGUUUUCCUGUGGACUUGGAAUUGUCUGAAUUGUCUAAUUUGCGGUAAAUGGUAUUCAUGCAGUGCUUACUGACCUUUGAAAAUGUUCACCCUGCCCUGCAACUACCACUAUUUGAUUGUAUGCGCGGGACUUGUUUACUCGUACUAAACUAGAUUCUGCACAAACUGGAUCCAGCUUGUCUUAUACUACUAUUCUUAUGUAUAGCUGCUAUGGCUCAAUUUCUGUCCUGCCAUAGAAGUGUAGAAGAUGUGACCAUAUAUAUCAGGCUUUGUUAACUAAUAUAUCCAUGGGAAAAUAGACUGCUGGACAAGUCAAUGCAUGCACAUGCAUAAUCCACAGAUUGCAGAUAGGGGCAUGAUAAAAGAAAGGGAUAAUUUCAUAAACCUCCCCUAAGGUUUCUGAUAAUUUCAACCAUCUCUCUUCAGGUUUGAAAAAUUACACUUACCUCCCUUGAUGUUAUGAAAAGAUUACGAUAGCCUUGACAAAUCUACAAAUUCUAAGUAAAAAGUGGGUGUAAAGAAUAAAAAAUCGCAUCUUGCAAAUGUUUCUUUAAUCAAAAGCUCCAACCUCAAUCUAUUAUAUUUAAUUCAAUUCUUAAGUUAUUUAAAUGAACUUCUUACUUAAUUUAUAAACAGCCGACUAGCAAGGAUGUAUUUGUUAAAAAUAGUUUCUUCACGAUUUACUUAGCAAAGGGGGAAAAAUUGAUGCCUUGAAACAUGGGCUAAAUUUUUUUGCAAAGAACUACCUUAAAGUUUUUUUUACUUUGCAAGUAACGCUAAUAUUUGAUUUCUUUUUCAUUUAAUUUAUUUUUAAAUUAAAUAGAGGCAAUAUAGGAUAUUCAUUAGACUUUUUGUGCUUACAUUACCAUUUGUUAACAAAACAUACUUUCUAGGGGAAGUUUCUACAAUUUUUCAAAUCUCAAAGAAAGUGAUUGGAAUCAUUACAAACCCCAGAGAGGUUUCUGAAAUUAUCCCUAAAAAAAAAGGAAAGUUAUUUUUUUAGUUACAAUUGAAAUAUGUUUUUUACAGGUUAAUUCCACUUUGCAUCCUUCAAGUAUAUUGAAAUUUCUACUUUGGUUUCUAAACUUCAAUACGGAAUACUUUAGCCCCUUAAUAUUAAUAUAAGAAUUAGUCCUCCUUAAGUAAAAUGGUUGAUAGAAGUGGGAUAAAUUUUAUAUUUAAAUAGGACAGAUUUUAUAUGCUAGGGACUAAAUUGAGAUAGAUUAUAUUUUGAGAACUAAAGUAGAAAAAAUUGCAUACUUUAGGAACUAAAGUGUGAUAGAUUUUAUACUUUAGGAUUUAAAGUGUCCCAUUUUAAAAUUUAUGAACCAAAAUAAUAAUUCGAGUAUAGUUGAAAAGUGUAAAGUAAAAUUAAUUCAUUUUUAAGCUGCAAUUGGAAUGAAGCUUACAUGGAAAAAAAUUUUAAAAUUAAUAUUAUAACAGGUUUUAUGUGAGACAAAAAAAAUAGUAGAAAAACAUAUAUAUAUGACGCAACGAAAAAAUUUUCACGGAAAAAUGGUCACACUGUCACACCACUCUGCAUUUAGAAUGUCGAUAACCAUAUAGAGGCUCCCUACUUUGGAAUCAAAACUUAGGGUCUGAGUCUAGCAAAUUGGUGAGAUUUGAAAAGGGAUCUAGGAGUAGAAGAUGGAAAUUCAAUAGAAGAAGGAAUUCUUCCCAUUAAUGGUGAAAAGAUAGAUGCUUGUGUGUGGUGACUGUUUGGCGUGAAGUACAUCUCCUGAAACGAUGAUAUGAAGGGUGGAAAUGGAUCAGCCUGGAUUUCGUGUGACACUUCGAGGCUUGGUGGGAACAAUACGUUGCACUAUAGUUUUCUCUUGGGGCAUGUCCCAGCGGGGAUCAUUUUUGAGAAUCCCUACUACUGCUGGGUGAAGAAUAUCUAACAAGAGAAAAACAUAAGAGAUAGCAGAUGGCAAUAGGAUAUUCCUUCCAAAUUAUUAUUGUGUUGCAUUUAAUUUUCACACUGUUAUUUUCAUGUUUUGUAGUAGCAAAAAGCAAAAUGAUCUGACUCUUUCUUCUGAUCAGUAUCCAUCUGAGACAUUGUCGUGUGUCUCCAGCUUUGAAAGGUCAAUUUCCACAUUUUCCCGCACUAUCAUAUCGUUUCCAAAGUUUCUUGACAGAGGUUGUGUAAAAAUAAAAUAAUCAUAAAAAGAGUAGAAGUUACCAGUAGACAUUUACUAAUUAGCAUGACGAAACUAAUCGGAAAGUGAAAAAGCUUGAAAAGGGACUCAAGUGGGCAGUCUUGGUUGACUGGAUUCUUGACUCCGAUCGGUACGUGGCCAAGUUUAGCUGCUUUUCCAUAUAAAUCUGAUUUAGCUGCUUUAAAGUUUUCAUUCGAACCAAACGGACCAGUGGCAAAAAUUCUGCAGCCGAGGCAAAAAGGAACGAAUGGGUUAAGAAAUAAGAAAAACGGAAGGGUUCUAUCCUGUAGGAGCACAUCCGACUCCUCUCGUGGAUGAAUUAAAGGUCCAUUUGCCCUAAUACGUGUAUUAUUUUUAACGUAGAAUCAUAGUAAUUUCAAGAAAUAUGAAUGAUAGUAUAACUAUUUCUGAACGAUAUAAUAAAUUUUUAAUACUUUGCAAUUUAUUAUUAUAUAUGACUUGUGCACUUCUAUAAUCAGAUGUUUUAUUCGUUAUCGUUACCAUAGAUCUUGUAUUGUAUAUUAGCUACUGCUAAUAUAGACUUUGUACAUAUUUGUUAUGUCAAAGAUAAAAGUGGAAUUUUUUUGAUCCGCACAAUUUGAAUUUGAUUUUAUUGACCAAUUGUGGAUCAGCCCUUUAUCCAAUAGCAAUCAAGAAAACUAUAUUGCUGAUUAGACCAAUGGCUCAUCAGGGAGCCCUUGGUAUCCAAUACUCCCUUGGUUUAAUACCAAGAAAGGCUUCCCCUCCCCCUAAAUUAUACUGAAAAAAAAAAAAAGAAUGCUGAUUAGAUUGUACAAGCCUGUGGCCAAUAUUUCAAAACAUGGAAAGCAUCACCCAGGCGAGACGAGGCCUGUUUCCAGUCAGAAAAAGACGAAGGAAUAACUAUGCACGAUGGUAUCUUCCCGGCCCCCUCCCCUUGAAAAUAGGUUUUAUGCUAUAAAAUUCUGAGAUACAGUACGAUGUAUAAAGUGAGGAUUGACCAAAACGAUUGUAUCAAUUGCUACAAGGAGCUUGUUAUAUGUUGUAUGAUUUGAGAAUUGACCAAGAAAUAUUAUAUGAGGAUUAUUUUCUUGAGGAAGUAGUAUUAUAUGGAAAAUAGUGUAUUUUUGAACAUUUUCUUGAGGAUUAUGGAUGGUUUUCAUACUUUCAUUGGGGUAGCUGGGUAUGCCUAAUUCUACUUGGAGUGGAAACAGAGACCGAAAGUUCAAUGGAGUGAUUACGAUUAAAAUUUAAAACUUGAAAGCCUUUGCAAUCCAUUGCCUGAGGGCGGAUGCCCGUACGAGAGCUACUACCAUCAAAUCUGCAACAUAGCAAAGGCUUAAUAAAAACUAAAAAAAAAAAAACUCAACCAAAAUCAAUUUGACUGCCUAACUAAGUUCUGCAUCUAUAUACGUCUUCUGUAUCGUGAAAAAAAAAAAAGAAAGAUGCAUACAAUAUGACACAGUAUGGUAUGCCAUUGGACAUGCCUAUUCAGAAUAUAUAUAUAUAAUAAUAAGACUACAAAAUUUCUCUAGAAGUUUUCCUUGUGAAAAUGGAAGCGUGUUGUCGUUUCUAAGCUUAGUUUAUGGCAUAGUUGUUUGAGUGUCUUUGUAAGUGCUGAACUUCCACAGUAGAAGACUCCUGCAACAAUCCAUCAUUUGGCAAUGAGAACAAUCUUUAAGCCCUGACAAAGCUGGAAUCAUCAGUUGGAAGGAAAUGGAUGACAUCAACUUACCAAUCCGUGCGGAUGGAUUUUGAGUUGCCAAAUCAGUGAACACUUUCCUCCAGUUUGGUCUUGCAAAAUGCGUCUUAAUCUGUCAAUAUAUUGUGUCAGAAACCAACAUUAAGUUUAUUGCGGGAAAAGCUUUGUGGAAAUUGUAUGUUUGGACGUGAAUACCCGACUUUCUGAGACAACAUCAACUCCAUUCUUGGCAUGCAGCAGUGACUGAACCAUUGAGAUUAAUGCUGAUCGAGCAUCUCCUUCUUCAUAUACACUAGUCAAGUAGUUAUGCAUUUCUAUGACAUGCUGAAAAAAGAGUUCAGUUCGAGCAAUCUUAAGAAAAGGGAACUGAAUAAUUAUGAUCUUUUUUAGUUUCUAUGUGACUUACAUGAUCAUCAUACUCUGCUAAGUCAUCCAUGACUCCCUUGAACCAUUCAAAAGAUCCUUGCUCGCGUGUUAACCAGUAAAAGUAGGCUCUUUUAGGACCUUUCUUUCUUGCUAGUAAGUCAUCUGCAAGGUCCUGCAAUAGUUUAUUUUUGUUUCAUAUGUUCAUCCGGUAUGAUUGUCCUCUCAUUCUUGAGAAAAUUUAAUCAAAGAUUCAGGAGCUUGAUACUUACUAAUUCAACUCUAUUAUUUAGAAUGUCUUUUAUAAUGCUGAUGAAUGGUGUCGCUCCAAUCCCCAGUCCAAUGAGAAGAAGGGUGUCAUAUUUCUUGUAAUUUUGUGCAGGUGCUCCAUAAGGUCCUUUGAUCAAGAUCGUUGGGAACCUAUACUUAAUGUAAACAUAAUAUUAGAGGUGACAUAUUUGAGCAAUCUUAAGAUUACUGAAUGGGAUUUACAUGCUCACCCUGCUUGUGAUUGCUGAGGAGUACCAGAACGCGCCCGUGUUUCCAAUCUUACAAGGCUUCCCGUUUUAGCUUGUGCAUCUUGAGGUUCACAGGCCUGCGCACGAGUGCCUCAGAAUAAAGAGAGAAGGAAAAUGAGAUGUAAAAACAGACGAUUGAGCAAGAAGGGUCUAUGUAUGCUUCUGCCAUUCUUUAAAUGAGAAAGAAGAGCACAAGGACCGAUCAACUGAUCCUGUGACCCUGUGGCUGAAAAAGAGGUUCAAUGUUUGUGUUGCCGGUAAAAAUUUGCCGACUGUACUCUGAGUUGCACAAAACUUAACCAAUUUUUCUAAACAGGAGAUCUCGUAGAUGGUUUGAUGGGAUCAGAUCACCUGAACUCGAUUCAGAAUAAAUAAACGGUGAGGAAAAAGGAAUAAGUAUUACCUUCUCAAAUGUGUUUUUGAGCUCCGUAGUCCAGUCUCCCAGUGCACGUAUGUGGACACUGAGAUAGGGAUCAUCAGGUGCAGAUGUGAUGGAGAAUGGAUGCCUGAAAGAGAUAAAUGAUAAAUCAUGUUAUAUAUUGCUAGGGCUAGAUGGAAGAUCAUUGAAAAAUUCCUGCUUGCUUUACCACUCAAAAGGUGAUAUAUCAGGACAUUUGACAAAAAGGUACAUCCCACUUUUGUACUUGAAUCCUACAGGUUUGCUCAUGUAUAGUGCUAGAACAUUUCCUGUAUAUAUAACAGCCUGCAUACGAGAUGCAUUAGUGAAUUAAACUUAUUCUUGUGAAUUUGAAGGAAACUAAUGGAACAAGGAAGACCAACCUUCUCUAUGUCCACCUGGUACUUGUGGUCAUACAUUGUGAGAAUUCUUUCGCUGGCAUAUAUGAACAUUGGGACAGCAAGAUACAUCCAUGUCUGCACCAUAAGGACAUCAUACAUAAUUCCACACCUAUGAGAGGUUUUAACUAGAACAUUGUUUGAUGAGAAUAUUGGUUUGUAUUUAGCCUCAUGCAGAAAUUUACUACUGGAGAUUGCAUUUUCAGCAGAUCAAUACGGUUAAAAUGAGAUAUUUGAUGGGGGAACUAAAUCUGUUUUCGGUGCAAAGUGGAACGGUCAUCCUUACAAGUGAAAUUCAUCAAAAUGUAAUUACGACCUUGCUGAGUUGAGAAUGAAUUGGAAACUUUUUUAUCUCUCGCAUUAUCAAAACUUAUAUCUUUGAAAACCAUUCUUUAAUCAUUAAACAUUGAAUUCCAGAAACCAUGCGAAUGUACCGUACCACUACUGGAAGCUAUAUAUGUUCUUCUGACUCUCAUUCGUCUACCUCCGUCAGAAAAAGUGUUCAGGAAUUAGUAAAUAAGGGAAAAUCAGCAUACCGUCUUUCGAUACCAUUCGUUAGAGAAGAUCAAGAAGUAGCCGUGUAAGAUCAAGAGGAUGUAGACAAUGGCCAGUAGAUGAUGCGCAUACCAGAAGGAAUUGAACCCUGCCAAUUUGUCGAAUGGAUGUGGCAGUUUUACAACAUUGCGCCUGAAUGAAUGCAACGCUAGCGUGAAGGAGAAAGUCAUCAUAAACACCAUCAUAAUUCCGGUUGCGCCAGGGGUACUAAGCGUAAGCUCAAAAUAAGUAGGUUGGUGGUAGUUAAAGACACUUCCAUAUAUAUCGUUGAAUGUAUCACUUGGACAACUUGAUAAUCUCACCAAAUUGCAACUCAAAUGAAACACUACAUGAACAAAGGUUCCUACUGCAAUUGCUAGAGCAAUCAAUUUGUGGAAAUUGAUAUUGUCAUCGAAGGGGAUCACAGUACCAAGGAAUGUUUCCCGUAGCGUUGUAAGAGUUCUCCUGCAUACUGGAAGGAGUAUCAGAGCCAUGUUAAACUUCAGAGUCUCAGCAGCACCCUUAGCCAUGCAGACACAAUAUCCCAAGACUUGGAAUGUCGGUUUUUUUCUAUAUUCAUGAAAUUUAUAAGCAAAGAGUGCCAAAUUCACACUCAACCACAACGUGACCAUCCAUAUUCUCCGCCAGUUCUCAUGUAUUUUCCCCGAGAUUUUUAGGACAAAUUUGCUGACUCGAGUUCUAUAUCUUUUGGGAAUCAUGGUCUUCGCCAGAAUUAGCGUCCUCUUCGAAAUAUCUUUACCAUCUUCUGAGCUCACCAUCCCUUUUAGUAAAGUUUCCAGUUGCCACAUCUGUUUAUAUUCGCCGUGAGACAGAGGCAAUGAAGUGGACAAGAGAAACAAGGAGAAGAAGAUGAAGAAGAGGUUUUGGUUUUUUUUUUUACGUCCUAACCUCUAUGUAUCCCGUGUGGUCAGGAUCGAGCUCUUCCAUGAUUAGAGCAGCAUACGUUGCAGCAUGAGUCUUAAAGUUGGACAACUUAUUUGCUGAGGCACUCAUUACUAGAAUCUUUUCCACAAGAUAUGAAGCAGUUUGAUCCAUGAGAAAGGAUGAAUUUGCAUAAAGAUAAAAACAUUUUGGUACAUGUUAACUUGUUACCUCUUUGACCUCAUCUUCUGAUAGCCUGCCAUCGCCAUUCUUGUCACACCUGCAAUAAAAAGGCCACAUCUAAUCAUUGGCAAGUGUUAUUGUUAUUUUUCUUAACAUCCCUUAUGUUUCCUGCUUUGAGAACCUCAAAACUGUCUUACAUUUCAAAAAAUAUAUGUAGCCGUGCGUCAAGGUCUGGAUUUGUGAUAUCAUCCCAAAAUUUUCUUAGUUCCUCCUUGACUAUACCAUUUUCGGGGUUGAUCAUCCUCCGCCUGGCCAACGUAUCAAACAAUUCACCCGCAAAUUCCUUACUCUCUGCUGCCAUCCCUUUAACAAGGAAAAUGCAAAAUAUGUAAUCUUGGCUUUCAUCCUCGAACUAGCACAAAAUCAGCUUAACAAGAAGAGAUGUUUAAGAAAAAUUAAAUACCAAUGCACACCCCAAAUUUGUCUCUAAAAAUCCUCCCAUUAACCCCAUUCUGAUAGAAACGUCUCUCGAUUGCUUUCCAUGCAUCCAUUUCCUUCCCUGUGUUAAUCCUGUCGAGGAAUCGUAAGCCAUUAAGCCCUCUAGCAGCACCUGAUUGUGUCCUUGUCAAAAUGGGGGAGUUGUUGCCAGGAACUCCAUUUCUCUUCCUCAAAUUGCUUAUUUGCCUCUCAAAAGAUGUUUGAUUUGUGUUUUUCGGUAUGGAGCCUGGCUGAUCACCAUCAUCAUCCGGCACAUCAGCAAUACUAUCAAUUUCAAUGCUCUCAAGAAUCCAUUUUGCCGAUCCCCCUUUAGCCAAUUCUGUGCGGUCGAUUGGUCCCAUAUCUUUUUUUUUUUCAACUUCAUAGGGAGCUGUAGAAUCUGAAUAUAUGGUUGCAGGAGACAUGUAACGAUGGAGGAAAUCAAGAAGGAAUCAGAUGGAGAGGCAUCCGGUUGCAAAGGUGGCAAAGCUAAAAUUAGUUAUUUCAGUUGAAAACUUGGCUGUCAGGCAUUCAGCUUUCCCUUGAGAAGACCAGCUCAGAAAAUGUUAUGGGAAAUGUGUAGACGCAUUUGGCCAAACAAUUUCUCUCAUCUCCACCAUUGAUUUGUCCAGAACUAGUGAUUAACAUCUUGUACCCACGACAUAUAAUUGACUUGGUACGAUGAGAUGGAUCGACAUAUGUCAUUAGUUACAAAAAAAAAAAUGAAUAUUUUCCAAGCCCCUGCACCAAUUAUUUUACAGGCAUGAAAAUGCAAUCAGAAAUUGUUGAAAAACAUUAGAUGCAAUAAGUUCUUGCCAGAAAAAUAACAAUGUCUGUUUUGGACAUUUUGGGCAAACUUUCUAAUCAUUCUACAAGAAGUUUAGGGGUUAGAAUUCCUUGGCCUCUUUUUCAUUUCCAAACAAUGGUUGCCAAAAUGUAAAAUUACUCGCAAAAUUUGAUUAUAUGUUGCAGUAAUAGAUGGGGAGGUCAUGAGGACACUAGCUACAACAGGGAUUUCUUGAAAAUGUCUUUUUUUUUUCAGGUAAAAAUAUGAAAUUUUAAUUUACAGGCCUUUGAUGUACAUUUUCGGUAAAUAAUUGUGUACAGUGCUUCCACUUUCAAAUUCUUUGGAUUUCAAUUCACAAUAUAGACAAGUCAUGUCCCUGAUAACAUCUUCUUAAAUGUUUCGGAAAAAAAAUAAUAAUACACAAUCUGAGAUUCCAUUUCGGAUGUAAGUUAACAUAACCAUAUUCAUUACAAAAUAGAAAAAAAAAAUAUAUUGAGUUUAACUAUAUCGAACCAUUGAUAUUGAAGUCAUUUAUUGGUAAUUUCUAGAGACUUUCAUUUUUAAAAUUUGGAUUGUUGAAAAGCCUAAGAUUUAGUCAUCAUCUAUUUGGAUUGUAAAUUAUUAGAGAUAUUUUUACUAUAGCACUUUUUGUGAUGUGAUGUAUGUGAGAUAAAAAGGUAAUUGGGAAGAUAAAAAGGUGUGUUGAAAAUUGUAAUGAUGAUGUAACCAAAUAAAUUUUGACAAAUAAUUUACAACCCAAACAGACUCGAAAAGCUAACUUUAAGAAACUCAUCAUUUUACAAAAAGCUUGGGGCAAUAGGUAGAUUUGUAAUUCGUUUCAAAAAAAAGGAAAAAAAGAAAACAAAAACUAGACUUGUUGAAAUAUAGUAUUUAAAGUUUAAAACUCAAAAUGAAAUUGAUAUUAGAAGGAAAAUAUGAAUGAAGAAAUCUUUGUCGUAAAAAUAAAAACCUAGUUUAAAUAAGAAACAUGAAAAUUUUUUCCAGAUAGAAUAUAGGAAAAGGGUAAACAAUAAAAAGAGGUAGACCAAUUUCUUCUUUUCAUAAAAGUUUGCACUCUUUGUUAUUUCUCAUGUGUUUUUUUUGUUCUUCCACCAUCAUGAAGAUAAAUAUUUUUACAACCUUAAUCAAAACAAAAACUUCCAUACUUUAGUACAUUUUUCCAAGAAAACGAUGUCAAAGUUUUUAUUAAAAAAUGCUAAUUCAUUUAGUCUUACAAUUUCUUAGGCCCCACCAAAGCAACGGUCUCAAUUAGAAUUUCUUCCCUGCAGAAACUAAACCGCGCUCUCUCUUUCCCGCUCCCUUCUCUUCUCAGUUCUCUCCCACCUUCUCUACACACACUACACACACUACCUCCUCACGAAAACACCUCUUUUUUCCUUCUCUUUCUCUUUACCCCCAAGACCUUCUGCAAAGUGUAAAAGAAACACGUCUCCCACUUCCCCUUCCCUCCUUCCCCACUGUCUUUCAUGCCCUUUUCAGUCUUUUCACUUUGCUCCCCAAUCGGACGGCUCGGCCCAGUCCACACACCCGUCUUCUUCUUGCUCUUCCCUGUCGUCCCACUCUACACCCGCUCACACCAUAACAUACCCACUCCCCUUCCCUUCCCCACCCUCUCCGUCCCUUUCUCUUUCUUCUUCUCUAGGGUUCCCACUCUUAUUAUAUUUUGUUCUCUCCAAAAAAAAAUCUCUCUCGCCUCGCUUCUCCUGCUUUCUUCUUAUCAUAAUUCUCUUUUUUUUUUCCUGUUGGCCUGGCCUCGAGUCCAUCAACGACAUCUCAGGUAUGAGUUUGAUCCAAUCUCACCUUCUUCUUCAUUUAUCUAUCGUUGUUUUUAUGUUCAUUCCUGCUCGUUGGUUGAAAAAAGAUUGGAAUUUUCUUUUAUUGGUUUGGAAUAUGUUUUAGUAUUUGGAUUGUUUUUGGGUUUCUUGACACGGGUUUUGUGAAUUAGAACGUGGGUUGCUUUUAUUUUUUCGGUUUAAAUUUUUUUUUUUUGGGAAAUUAAUGUUGCUAUGCAUUUUUUGUAGCUGGGUGAUGGUUUAGUUGAGAAAGUUCUAAUUUUUUGAGUUUUGUAUUUUUUUAAAUUUGGUAGGGGCUUAUGUGCAUGCUGGUGGUAUUGAAUGGCGAUUGAGAAGAAUAACUUUAAGGUUUCGAGAUUUGAUUCAGAGUUUUCGCCACAUAGUAGAGAUACUAACACUAUGUUGUCAAGUGAGGAUGAGGAGUUUCAGAGGCGAAACUUGAGUGCUGUUGAUUCUGAUGAUGAUGAUGAAGAUGAUGAUUUUGAUGACUGUGAUUCUGGGGCUGGCUCGGAUGACAUUGAUUUACUUGAAUUUGGUGAAGCUGGGGAGGAGUUUUGCCAGGUUGGUGAUCAAACCUGCAGCAUUCCAGUUGAGUUGUAUGAUCUUUCCGGGCUGCAUGAUGUGUUGAAUAUGGAUGUGUGGAAUGAGGUCUUGAGUGAGGAAGAAAGAUACAGUCUUACUCAGUAUUUACCUGACAUGGACCAAGAGACUUUUAUGCGGACUUUAAUGGAGCUCCUUACUGGGUGUAAUUUGCAUUUUGGAAGUCCUAUUGAUAAGUUGUUUGACAUGUUGAAGGGAGGGUUGUCUGAGCCGAGGGUGGCUUUGUAUCGGCAGGGUUUGAAUUUCUUUCAGAGAAGGCAGCAUUACCAUCUCUUGCGGAAGCAUCAGAAUGCAAUGGUGAGCAAUCUUUGUCAAAUGAAAGACGCUUGGUUGAAUUGCAAAGGGUAUAGCAUUGAGGAAAAGCUUCAAGUUCUGAACAUAAUGAAGAGCCAAAAUAGCUUGAUGUAUGACAAGAUGGAGGAAUUAAAAAGUGACUCGUCUGAGAUGGAGGAGUCAGGAGAUGGUACAUGGGGCAAACUGGCCAAGGAUCGAAAGCUUGGGCAGAAACUUGCCCGACAGUCUGGAUAUGGCAUUGCUUCGGCUUCGGAUUUCCCAUCUCAUGGCAGGCAACUGGCUUUAGAACCACCAAAGGCUGGGAAGCAGAAUAAAAAGGGAAAUCUCAAGUUAGGGGGGUCUAAAUCUGCAAUGGCAAAAGAACUACCAGGUGGCUUUUCUUUGGCCCACCACGGGAUGGAUCUAAAAUCUGGGCCUUAUGGUCCAGCUCUGCCUCUUUCUCACCAUUAUCGAGUGGCAGGGUUUGAUCCUGGGGCAGCAUUCCACAGUAGGGAUCAAAUGGAAGCUGAUGAUUAUGAAAAUGAAUCAAUGUAUGAAGUGUCUGUGCACAGAGAUCAGAAUUUCUCUCGGGCUGGGGUAUCAAGCAAAGGAGGGACUUUCAAAAUGGGGAAAAGACAUGAUGAACCUUUGAGAGUUGAAGAGUAUACUGACAAUUUUAUGGGAUUACCUAAGAACAAUUUGCAUUUGUAUGGCAGGAACAACACUGUCAAUCAAUUAUCAGACAUCAAGGUUUUAACUUCAAAGCCACUUAAUGCUAGGAUUCCCUAUGAUCUUGGGAAAAAGGUCAAGAAUGUUGGAAAUUUUCUGCAUCAUGGUUCUGAAGAUCAGAUGAUAUAUGGAAAGGGUCGAAUACCAAAUUUGUUACUGAAAGGAAGUCACACGGAAAUGUUAGAUGGGAAGGAACCCUUUUGGCUUGGUACAGGACAGGGAGGACCUUUCUCUGCUGAGCAAUCAUACAAGUAUGGAGAUUGGAAUGGAAAAAGCAAGAAGUGGAAAAUGGGUAGGGACUCUCCUGAGCUUGGAGUUGAUAAUCGAUUUAUUGAUUCCGAGUAUCAGCCAAAGCCAUUGCAGGAAAGAGUCAGAUCAAGUUCUAUGCAAAAUGGUGGGCGAGGUAUGGCAAAGUUUAAAGGUGUCAGGGAUUUUGCUAAGAAGGAUGAUACUGAAUCUGAUUCAUCUGAGCAGAUUGAUGAAGAUGAGGAUGAUAAUCCCCUGAUGAGGAGCAAGUGGGCUUACCCUAGUGGUAUUUCUGAUCUAAAAGUGGGCCGAAAUUCGAAGAAGUCAAAACUUUUUAAGAAGGAUGCAAAAGAUGGGAUCUGGACUCUUGAUGGAUCAUCCCACUCCACAAGACAGAUGUCUGAUUCUGGUGAACAUCUACGGAUGAUUAAAAAUGGGAACCACAACUGGAGAGCUGAGCAGAAAGGCAAGAUGCAUGAUAUUGGUCAAGUUAAUCCUUAUAUUAGAGAUUUGGGCAGGAAUUAUUUCUCUGGAUCUGGUCAACUAACUGGUGAGGAUGAUUGGCAGCAAAUGUACAAGUUGGGAAGGAAUGACCAUAUCCAAGAAGAUCAGAGCGAAAGAUUGCACAUUCCCAUCUUUAAGUCACCACAUUUGGAGAGGAGGAGGAAAGGAGAAUUGUACAGGGACUACGGCGUUCCCCAGUCAAAUUUUCUGCAAGAUAAUGAUCUUGAGGAGGAUGAUGAUUCCCUUCUGAUUAAGUCGUUGGCAGGGCAUGCCAAGGUCUCUGCCAGGUUGGGGAAAAAAGCUCAAGUGAAUGAAACAUAUGCUGGUAAUCAUCAUGAAAAAUCUGAUAUUCAAUUGAUAGGAUGCAACUCUAAUGCUAAGAAACGGAAAGUGAAGGAUGAUGUGACUUACCUGGAUGAGAGAGAAAAUACAAGUUAUUUCCCCUAUGAUAGUCAAUUGCAAAUGGAUGAUGCUGAUUCCUCAAAGAAGCGGGGGAAAAAGAAAUUGGGGGAGGACACUGUUAUGUUGGAAAAGGGAAUCAAUGAAGUACCUAAUACAGAGAUGGAAGUAGAAGAUGUCGAGCCAGAUAUUAAACCGCAGAAAAAGCAUUUCACUCCAAUUACACCCACGGUUCAUACCGGCUUUUCAUUCUCAGUCAUUCAUCUUCUUUCAGCAGUUCGCAUGGCAAUGAUUACUCAGAUUCCAGAGGACUCUUUAGAGGUUGGAAAGCAUCUUGAUCAGACUGAGGGUGCCGCAAUUGUCAACGAGGACCAAGAUAUAAGGCAGGAUAGCUCCAAUGGAAAUCAUCCACAGGCAGACUUGGAUGUCAGUAAGCUUGCAGCUUCUUCACAACUGAACGUUCCUUCUCUCACUGUUCAGGAAAUUGUUAACCGUGUUAGAUCCAAUCCUGGAGAUCCCUGUAUUCUUGAAACUCAAGAACCACUUCAGGAUUUGGUCCGAGGUGUUCUGAAAAUAUUUUCAUCCAAAACAGCACCUUUGGGAGCUAAAGGUUGGAAAUCACUUGUUGUCUAUGAAAAGACAAACAAAAGUUGGUCCUGGAUUGGUCCUGUGAAUCACAGUCCAUCUGAUAAUGAGGCUGUCGAGGAGGUGACAUCUCCAGAUGCCUGGGGUCUUCCUCACAAGAUGCUUGUCAAGUUAGUCGAUUCUUUUGCUAAUUGGCUGAAAAAUGGUCAGGAGACACUGCAACAAAUAGGAAGUUUACCGGCCCCACCAUUGACACUGAUGCAGUUCAAUUUAGAUGAGAAAGAACGGUUCAAGGACCUGAGAGCUCAGAAGAGUCUCACCACUAUCAGCCCAAGUUGUGAAGAAGUAAGAUCUUAUUUCCGUAAAGAGGAGGUACUUAGGUAUUCAAUUCCAGACAGAGCCUUUGCUUAUACAGCUAUUGAUGGUAAAAAAUCAAUCGUUGCCCCCUUGAGAAGAUGUGGUGGCAAGCCAACAUCGAAGGCCAGGGAUCAUUUUAUGCUAAAACGUGAUCGUCCUCCCCAUGUUACUAUUCUCUGUCUUGUAAGAGAUGCAGCUGCUAGAUUGCCAGGAAGCAUUGGGACAAGGGCAGAUGUUUGCACACUGAUCAGAGACUCACAGUAUAUUGUGGAAGAUGUUUCUGAUGCUCAAGUUAAUCAAGUGGUUAGUGGAGCACUGGACCGGCUACAUUAUGAGCGUGAUCCUUGUGUGCAAUUUGAUGGAGAGAGGAAACUGUGGGUGUAUUUGCACAGAGAAAGAGAAGAAGAGGAUUUUGAGGAUGACGGGACAUCAUCAACUAAGAAAUGGAAGAGGCAAAGAAAAGAAGCAAAUGAGCCAUCAGAGCAAGGGUCUGUGACUGUUGCUUUUCAUGGGCCGGGAGAACAAAGUGGUUUUGAUUUGAGCUCUGAUCUAAAUAUUGAACCGUCAUGCACGGAUGAUGAUAAAAAGCCAGAGAUUACAUACUAUGAUGCUAUGGAUAAUGUGGAGGAGAAUGUUGAGACUUGUCACGGAACUGAACAAGGUGCUGACCACAGCGGUUCUACUCCACUGGUUUGGGACUCUCUUGGCCUGAAUCCUCUUCAAGAGAACAAUUUGCUAUGUCAGGAGAAUUCUACUAAUGAAGAUUUUGACGAUGAAAUAUUCGGCCGAGAGCCACCAGCUUAACUGUUGAGCUCAGUCUUAUUCUGAGUUACAAUAAGGUAACUUGGAAAGUUCAUUCCUGCAAUUCACUUUAAAAUUGUGAUAACCAGUAAAGGUUUGGGCUGAUAGGAUAAGGUUCUAUGAUGAGUAACUGCUCAAAAGAGGCAAUUUCUUGGUUUAUUAUGCCAUAAGUUGUUUAUAAAGAUUGUUAUCUCAUAAAUUACUAAUUUCCAUUAGAAAUCACAUCUUUCUACUACUAAAUUCACAUCCUGAUUCUUAGAAGUAGGUGCUAGUUCUUUAACCAUUCAUAUGGAUCCUUUGAUUAUGUGAAUUACUAUAAACAUGCAGGCUACAGCUCUCGCCCACACAGGUGUUGUCACGGGAUUGAGUUGAAGCCCUUCAAGCUGUAUGCUGAAGUUGAGAUAAUUCAAAUGUAAAUUCAUUUUAGGUUACAAAACGUAGAAUAGUAAUCUUGAUGAAGUCGAAGAACAAUUACCAUAGGUAAUUCACCUUGUGCUCUGUCCUAGUUCUUUCCUUUUUCUUCCCUUUUCUUUUCCAUACUAUCAGGUCAGACUUAGUUAGCCUUUCAUUUCUCCGAUCACUAUCAGUUGAAGCUCCACGUCUGUGGAUUAUGGCUUCUUGUACAUAGAUAGAAUUAGCUGAGAGAUCUUGUAUCUUCCAAGUGCCCAUACUGUUAUGGGUACCUUAUUUUGUUAUGCCUUCUUAUCUUAAUCACAUGAAAUUUUUUUUUUUUUGCCUUACAGAUCUGAUGUUUAGUCUAGCAAGGCCUCAAGGGAGCCCAGCACACCGAAUUUUUUUCUUUUUCCCCUUCUUUUGGUUUUUCAGUUUUGAUAAUGUCAUCUCCUUAAAGUUUGUCCAACCUCCAAACAACUGUUGUUGCAUGCCUGGCAACUCUUUAGAGUUAGCUGCAUGGGGUUUGUGGGGAAGAUUUUGCCUAGCAGUCAAACAAAGCUGCAACCCUUUGAGCACCGCACGUGUUAAAUUUAGAUCCAAAGAUACAACAAACAAAAGUACGAAAACCGCAGUUAAAUGGCGGUGCGAGAUACAAGAAAAAUGUGAAAGAGAAGUAAAACGAAGUGAAGAGGAAAAACGGAAACAAAUUCAAGGCCGUGCAACACAAAAAAAAAAAUUCUUGAGGUUACCAUAGAAAAUAACUUCGUUUUAUCAUCAAUUAGAAAAAAAAAAGAAACGGAAACAAAAUACAGUUGGUGAGGAAAUUUGGGAAAGACAAAUUGCAAGGCAGUACUAAAAGUGGUGUUAUUCUUUUUCAUUAAAAAGGUAGAAUUUUUUUUUCACCCCAUUAUCAAUUCAAAAAAAAAAAAGAAACAAAAACACAAGUGAUGAGUAAAAAGGGAAAGACAAAUUGCAAGGCAGUAGUAAAUGGUACCAAAAGUGGUGUUAAUUUCCUUUUGCUUAAAUAAAGUACCUUUUGCUUAUGAACAAAAUUUCUUUUCUGAUUUGUAGGGUACGAAAUUUCCUUCCACUCGUGAUAAAUAAGAAAUUUCCUUUUUCUAUUCUUUACUUUCAUUAGUUUAACACUAUAUUGUUUGAGGAAAAGAAAAAAAUGAAGAGUUUCCUAAGCAUUGCACCGGAAAUUUGUACAACCCUUUUUCAGACAAUUUCCUUCCAACUCAAAAUAUUAUUCCUCAAGAAAAUUUAGGAAAUUUCUCUCAAGGAAAAGUGUGUCUGUAAAUUAAAAAAUAAUAUUCAUAACGGAAAAAAAAAAGUAAAUUGAAAACGUUCACUAUUGAUACGAGAGGGGCUAUGAUACGACGAUAAUAUAUUAUUUAAUAUAGCAUGAAGCAUAUGAUAUGACAAUCAUAUAUAUAUGAUCGAUCAAUCAUCAAGAGAGCUCACUGUGAUAGUAUAAUGCAACUAAAACGACAUGACGCACCUUACAGAGAGGGUAGGGUAGAAGAGCUCAUUCAAUCAUCCGAAAAAUGCAAAAUCACUCGUCUCUAUUAUCCUUGCUCAAGGAAUUUCAAGGACUGAAACUCCAUCGCCAAUCCCUGACCCUAAAGUAAAAUAUAAAUUGAAGAUAUGAGGUAAUCUGCUGCUAGCGGACUAUAAACCGCCGCCAUAGAAACGAAUUGAUGAUAUAACAAUCAACAAAUAGGUUGGUAACUAACCCUACACACUGAUGCUAUGUCCUGUACAGUGCUAUAUUGUCUACUACGCUACCAAUAGAAGAAUCUAAGUCCCUCUUCAAUUUAAUUAAUAGCAGUGAGGGGAACUCUAGAAUCUUUCAAGGGAGAGGCAGCUUCAACUAUAUGCUGCUUUACAUCUCCAUUUGCUUGCUUUGAUGUUUUUGCAUCCCAAAAGGACUUCAAUAAUUCUUCAAAAGCAGGGGUUCUGAGUUCCUCAAUGGAAGCAAUACUUGGAAGAUUGUACGCCCUCCUUCUUGGCGUAGCAGCGCUGGAUGGUUGAUCGACCUAUGAUAAUUUAAAAAAAAACCAACCAUUGUGAAACACUUGAGUGCUGUGAAGAUGAGGUAUAUUUUCAUAAGACAGUUUCUGCAAUAUUUCUAUAGCUUAUAUCUGACAAAUUUCAAUUUUCUUACCAAGUAUUCUUCUAGAAGACAUUUUCCUGCAUUUUCUGUGAUUUCCGCAAUUUUGUGGUGAUGUCCACACUUCAGUUCCCUCAGCUCACCGCAGCAAGGAACAAUCAGUGAAUCAAGAUUACCACAUGCGUCGUUGUCAAGUUGCAGUGAAUCUGCAAGGAUUUGUUCAGUAAAUUAUGAGCCCUUUUGGAAAACAAGAUUAUAUACCAAUGCUGAAGUAGUUUCGAUUGUCAUAUGUAAUUCAUGGGAUGGACUUACGGUCAAUAGAAGAAAGGAGAUUCCUGCUUGCGACAUCAGCAUCUUCAAGGGCGGAUGACACGGCUGAAGAAAACCGUGCACGUAAAGAUUGAUUGGCAUCCAUUCCUCCCCUAUGGGAAAUACAAAAGGUUACUUGACAUGAGUAUUCAUAAUCAUUUUCAACCACUAGAGAAGCACCUUGUUGGGUAUUAACCUCACUAUGCUGUCGACAGAAUCCACGUUCCUCUUCUCUAAAUUGAACAAGGAUUUUUGGGCAUCACUCCACUGUUGUGCACCCAAUUUUGCCUUUUGCAAGCUGCAAAAGUAAAUUAAUUUCACGAGAGACACUUAGAGGAGAAUUCAGACUUCAAAAGCCAUAGCAAGUUUGAUAAUGCAUAGAAGAAAUAUAGGCAGCAACCAAUACCAGUUCUGAAGAACCACUUCCAUUUCCUUUUUCCCACUUUCCACAGCACCAUUAUCCUCAAUAUACUGGGAUUCAGCCUGCUCCAUGUAAUUUGUCCAUUCUGCUUCAACAGAUGCAGUUGCAACUUGCAUUGUCGACAUCUCCUGUUGUAAUCGAUCAGUUCUAGUGGCUGCACUCUGGCGGAGGCCAUUAACUGCUGUUUGCACCUAGUACAUAGGAAAUGAAACUCUAUAAGAAUUUGAAAGUUGUACCACAGAAUCAACGAAAUGAAAAACACUAUUUCAGAGCCACCACCCGCAAUUUACACUUUACAUCACCACCUGUGAUCCAGAAGUAGCUCAUCAUUUGAAGAAGAAAAAUGGUCAAUUUGACAUGCCCUAGCUAGAGGUUUGAUGGAGAAUGGAAUUAUCACACUCUUUUGGAUGAGCAACUCAAAAAUUUGGCAAGAGCCAUAAGCAUAUAGGGAAAAGUCCAAAUAUUUGGCCAGAGAAUAGAAGUAACAAAUGAAAAUGAAUGUGCUACCAGAAAAGCAAUGACAUCACUUGUUCUUAAACCUACCAAACUGCACUACAAUUUUGAUGUUGUUCAACAUCACUAGUAUUGGUUCAUCUAAUUUGACUACUUUUCCCGUAUUGAUGAUUCAGUUGUAACAGUUUGUGAAGCUCUUACUUUCACAAUAGAGGAUUCAAAGUUUCAGAAAAAAGUCCAAAAGAAAAAACUUUUAUUCUUCUACUUCCAUAGGCAGGUAAAGAUUGUUUAUGUAUCUGCAUUAUCAUAAUUUAUUGAAGCAGAACAAGAACAGAUUGCCUUCUGAUGUGUUAGUCUAUGAGCUCAUACCAGUUGUUUCUUCCUGACAUUUGAACUAGCAAGCAGCUCUGCCACUUUUUCUAAGAGCUGCCUUUCUUCAUUGGCAGCACACUCCUACAUUGAAGGAAGAAACCAAAACAGAAUCAAACUUAAAGCAAGGCCACAACUUAAAGCAGAAACUAGGUUCAAGUGGGAAAAAGGUCAAAUCACCUCAAACUUCUUUUCUAGAUCAGAUAAUUGUUUAUCAUUGACUGUCUGUGAUUCUUCUACAAUUUGGCCUAAUUGUGAAACAUGCGCAUCCAAAGUUUUGAAAAAGUUGACAGUUAUUUGAGCAAUUGACCUUGUUGUCGUGACAGCUCUUUGAUGAGCCUGCAGAAGAUGUCAAUGUGAGUAACAUUAGCUGUUUCUCUCAAAUUAGAUCAGAGAAUGGAAAGUUAUCAGGCCAAGCAUGUUUCUUUAGUUUCUUAAGCAAAUGCCAACCUCACGUUGCUGCUGUGCAAAUGCAAUUAGUUUGCUCUCCUGACCGUGAAGACUAUUUUGAAGAUCAUUCAGCAGUUUAUCAGCCUCUGAAGCAAUGCUAUUGAAAAGCUGCAUUUUUUGAACAUUGAUCAAGCAAAAGAUACAGAGGCACAUCAUGAUUGUAGCAUUCAAUGUCAAGAGAUACUCACCUUAGUCAGAGAAGAUGAAUGCUCAGAGACCUGAGAAUUUAGAUGUCCAAAAGUUGACUGUGAAUUCCCAUCAAGUUCCCCAGCUAAACUGUUAAGAGAUUCUAUACCAGAACCAUACAUGGUUUUCAACUUCUCGAGGCGGCUUCGGAGCUCUUCAGUAGCCUAGCACACAAGAGAGACGUGAAUGUAUUGACAAACAAUCUGUGCAGAUACAAGCUUAUGCUAUUUCAUGUAUACAAUACCUCUGUCUUUGUGGAUACAAAAGACUGCAUAUCUUCUUCCAUAUCCUUUAAUUGUUGCUCUUGUUGUGUGGCUGAAGCUGCCACAGUUUUAUGCAAGAUGUCAAGCUGUUGCGUUAGCUGUGAUUGGAACUUCUGGACAAGAAUUCUGUUUCCAUCUUCUAUUUUGUCCUUGUGCUCUGGAUAAGCAAUUAUGCAUGAAUAACAACAUUAAACUGCAUGGUUUUAGGCAUAAUACAUCCCUAUUCUGUUUAGAUCACUAAGCUUAGCAUACAAACCAAUCUUAGCAAACAAAUUGGAGACAUCUGAUGCAGCAUUCUCCAGUUCUGUUCGAAGAUCAAACGCCCGCUCCAUAAGUGCUUUCUCUGGUAGAAGAAGACCACAUGAUGUCAGAAAACUGUUCUAAUAAUGUCUUGAUGGAUUAUAGAAGGAUUUUUUUUACAUGAUGGAUAGUUGUUAUUAGGACAUAAGGUGAGAAAAAGCAAGCAGAGAAAUUCAAAAACUUAAUCGUGUCUAGCAAAAAAAAUUCAGCUCAUUGUGGGCCUCUGUCACUCUUUUGCGUUUCCCAUUUAACCAAAGGCAAGUUGCACAAGUAAACAGACAAAAAUAUUGAAAGUAAAGGGACCUCAUAUCACCAGUCAAACUGGAAAAACUUAAUUAUGUCUAUCAAAAAAAAAAUUCAGCUCAUUGUGGGCCUUUAUCACUCCUUUCUGUUUCCCAUUUACCAAGGCAAGUUACACAAGCAAAAAUUAUGAAAUGGCCCAUGUAUAUAACAUCACAGAUCUGACCUAGAUAUUACUGAAUAUUAGAGUCAAAUAAGAAGGAAAAUUGCUUAGGAGACAGGAAAGCAUUGCAGGCUAGCAGAUCAGAUGCAACAAAAAAUCAUAAAUUGAAAAAAGUUAUUAGAAUGACUUGGCAGCCUAAGUAACAGGAAAAUAAUAAUAGAUGCAUUAUUUAUGCAGCAACAUUAGCAUUUAGGACUAUAUGUGAACAACUUUAAACUGUGGUGAACAUUGGCCUCACCAGACUUCAGAAGAUUGGCUAUCAGAUACUCCUUUUCUUUUAUUGUGGCAUUAGCUUGUCUAAACCGUUCCUCCAGAUCAGCCAAAGCAUGCUCAGUUUCCUGCAGCAUUUUCUGGAGCACAACAAAAAUAUAGUUGUGACAUCAUGAGCAAAAGAGGGGAAAGCACGACGAACUAUUAUGAGUGCAACAAAAUAAAUUAAUUUUACCUCAGUUUUGUCAAGUUUGUCGCUUAACUCUGCUGUCAAUAGCUGUUGAGAUUUGUAAAGUUCCUGAAGCUCCACAAAUUGCUGCUCAAAAAGCAUAUAGUGUAAUCAAUCAAGUGUUGCAAGUGGCAACAAGAAAAGACAAGGUUAAAGAUUCAUUUCUCAAGCAUACCUUGUCCCUGGAUUCCACAUCAAGCUCCAUGCGUUCUAUCUUCUCAGCCAUUGCCUGAAAUUAGAUACAAAAUUAAUAAUUUUCAGGGGAAAUUUUCAGGUAAUACAUGUCAUCGUCAGACCAAAUGACCAGAUUGCGACCUUUUUCUCGGCUUCAUCCUGCAGAUAACGAUCUUUUGGUAUAUAAAUCCCGUUCUUUUCUCUAGCAGCAUACACCUCUGAUGAACAUAAGAUUGUUAAAUAGAUUCAACGUAAUAUUGUCACAUCAUGUGCAAAAUUAUCUAAUGUGCUUAACCAGUCUGUAAACCAAAAGAUAUCUGUAUUUAUGGAAGUGUACACGACGCACUUGCAUGAACAGACAUAGACAGAGCAAUCAACAAACCUUGCUUCAGUCUGUCAAUUUCAGAGUAUAGAUCUUUAAUCAUUGCAGAUUUCAUCAUCUUCUGAUUAAUCUGAAAUCGCAAGCAAACCAACAUUUUUUAACAGGAUAUAAAUGAAGACAGUCACAAAUCCUAUGAAGGAACACAAUAGGAGAAACAUAGAAGGAAAUCACUACAUGUAAUGACGAAAGAAUGGUUAACAGAAGACUGACCUCUGGUUUGUUCUUUAUGUUUUUGGCUCUAUGAGCGUAAUCUAAAGUGUUGAGCGUCUCUUCCAGGCAGUGAAUGGAGGGUGAUACAGUGGCAAUCACACAUGUCUUUGUUUUUCCUCCCAAAGAAUCUCUCAGUAAUCUUGUUAGUUUGCUAUCCCUGACACCCAUAGUGAUAUAGUUGGUUGACCAUUAAUUCCCCAAACCCAUGCAAUCUCUUUGACUGGUUAACAUAAUGGGAACAGUACCUGUAUGGUAUAUGACCAGAGUGUUCCACCAAAGCAUUUAUCACCCGACCAAGAGUAAGCAAACUUUUGUUGAUUUCACCCGCUUCCCUUGCUCUUCCCUGCGGAAUUAAGGGUUAUCAAGCCAAUUCAGAACAUGCAAUGUCACCUUCAAGUUUUCUCCCCGCACGAAAGUUGUGAAAGCACUAUCUGGUGACACUUAGAUCAAGUUCCAGCCAAACCUAUUAUCCUUCUUUUCACAUGUAAAUGUAUGAACACAGACAUAUGCAGAAAAAUUAAGCAUUGACACAAUUUGCGACAUGUCUCUCACCUCUCUAGCACCAGAACGGGAGAUAUUCUCAGAACCAGCCAAGUCAACAAGAUUCAGUUUCCCGCAUUUAAUCAUUUCCUCCCCUUCAGGUGUGCAUUCCUUUAUGUGAAUAGUUAUAGAAAAUAUAGAGUGAGAACGGCUGCUCUGUUUGUUGAGAAGGGUUUCAGCUGUACGCCUUUUAGCAGAACCUUUCUCUAAUAUCUUAUAUAUCUCAUUUGCAGUACAAACAAUUUCCUCCUCCAAGCCUCUCACGAAAACUCCACCUUUACCGUCCUCCAUAAGUGCUAUUGGUUUCUUUGAUUUAUCAUCCAAGAAUUUUGGGGCUUCCUCAGGAGCCAAGAGAUCUGUUAUCUCUUCAUUGUAGAGCUCUAAAAAAGUCACCUUCAUAUUGUACUCAGCAUGCUGAGUUUCUAAAAUGUCAAAUAUUUGCUUGACAGCUCUUGGAAUUACACCUGCAUCACUAGGAAAUUCCCCAUUCUAAAGGGGUGAAAAAUCAACCAUUUAUUACAAGAAUAAGAAAGGGAAGCUGCAUUAACAUACUAAAGCAUACGUACAAGUUCCUAAGCCAAAAAAGAGAGAAAGACAUACCUUUUUCCUUCCUCCUCCCUCCAUCGUAUAAGUUUUCCCUGUUCCAGUCUGCCCAUAGGCAAAAAUCGUGCAGUUAUAGCCCUCUAAAACUUCAAAGACAAUAGGCCAAACAGCCUGAUCAUACAAGUCCUUUUGCUGGGAUGUCGGGCCAAAGACCUGAACAACAUUAUACCAAAUCAUAUUUUUUGCCUCAUAUAAAAAAUGCAAUAAUACCGGAAAUUCCAAGGAAAUGAAUAGUUCUUCCAGCUCUAUAUUGAUUUAAUUUCGGUGUAAGCUCACUCUCUAUUCUCUAUUCUAAGAUACAAUUGAUCACGUCUCUAUCUUUUCUUUACUUUUUUUUUCAUUUUUCAUUUGUUUUCAGCUGCUGAUAAUUCUUCAUUUCUGUGCUAACAGAAUAAGUAUCAAUCAUCAAGUCUGAGAAAAGCCAAACCUUAUCAAAAGCAAACGUUCUAUCAAUUUGCUUAUUAGCUAUGUUCUGGACAGCACACACUUCUCUUCUGUUCUCAUUGCAAGAUAUCACGACCGGCGUGUGCAAUCUCGUCUCUUCAUCACUCAGCGGCCUGCAAAAAAUUCACAAUCAAAUCUUUGUAUAACAAUUGACUUAGAUUAAACGCCCCCAAGAGAAUGCCUGUGAUCAAUUCAGCAAAACUCACCUGCACCGGACAAUGACCUGUACAUUGACGCCUUUAUCCUUAUCAUGCUUCCCACUCAUACUCCCCUCGCCCGAUCGUAGAUCUCUCGCCGCCUUAUCACUCGACUUCGGCGUUUGGGAUGGUGAAACCGAUGCGAAGCCAUUGCCUCCGCCGGCUCCUCCUCUUCUAUGUUGUUGUGAUUCCAUUGUUACUGAACUUCGCUCUUCAAAUCACCAACGAGAUCUUCUUUCCUUUUGUGUAUUGACAAUCUCUGUAUUAACAACUCAUCAAAACCACCAGUAAGCUUCAAAUCAACCAGCCGGGUCAACUCAAAUUCAAAUCCAGCGCACAAAUUCUCGCAUUUCUCAAAAAAUACAACAAUAAAAAACGACAAAGUUUUGCUCAAAGAGGAAAAAAAAAGAAGAAUAAAUGACCAUAAGAAAUGACAACCGCAAAUUCAAAGAUCGGAUAUCCGAUGGGUGGCCAAAAAACAGUCAAAAAAAUAAAACAAGCGAUAAAAACAGAGGAAUCAAGCCAAUUAUACACGAGAAUAUUUAUGCGAUUCUCGCGGAUGAGUGUGUGUGUGUGUGUGUAUAUGUAUGUACGAGGAUAAUGCUGCAUCGUCUAAAACUUACCACGAAGCCAAAUGCCGGCCGCUGACAGCUUCAAUUGCCGGAUAAAUGUUACCACUAUAAUCUAGUAUGUGUAUCUACGUAUCUCUAUAUCUCGUAUACGGGAGCAGCCCGAUGGCAAUUGUGUGCGAGUUUUAGAGAGAGAAAGUAGAAGGACAGUCAAUAUUAUGUUGAGAGCGAUGAUAGAUAGAUAGAGUGGGAGUGAAGUUUUUAUGGAUUAGCUGAUUCUUAAGGUUAAAUAAAUAAAAAUAUGGUGAGAGAGAGAGAGAGAGAGAGAGAGCUGAGAGCUGAGUGUGGGAGUGUGUGUGGGAGACAGCGAGAGGUACAGGGAGAGAGAGAGAGAGUGGACUUGGAACGAAGCUCAAAAUAUGGCCGUUACGGAGCGUUCGAAAUUUCUUACCCUUGGUUGAGUAAUUUUUUUAUGGUUUCAAGGCGCAGCCGCGGAGGUCGAAGAAGAUUUGAAGGAUGACAAUGACGGCGUUAGUGGCCAGUUUGGAUAUAAAUUUUUGACCGUUAUAAAAUGGAAGAAACAAAUUUAAAAUUAAAAACGGAAAAUGAGGAGGGUAGAGGACUUUGCGGGGUAAACAGCAGGUCACGGGUUUCUCAUUUAUUACGACACUUGCCAUCCAUGCGUCCGCGAACGAAGAUCACUCAAUCCAUGAACGUGACAAUUUUCUGCCCUUUUCUUCCAUGGCUAAUUAAUCAUCAUCUUCUUCGUUUUUUCUACCGUGAAAUUUUCUACAUCGCCUGUGUUUGGAUUGUGUGUUAUUUCACUUUAUUUACACACAUUACAUUUAUUUACAUCAUCAAUACAUUUUUCAAUCAUUUUUUUAUCUCACAUACAUCAUAUCAAAAAAAGAUGCUACAGUACUUUUUCAUAAAAUUAUCUCAAAUAAUUUACAAUCCAAACACGGAGUUACGCACCACGCCUGCCCUCCCUCCCCCUCCUCCUCCCCAAAAUGGACCUUAAUCCCAUUCUUAGUUUAGGAGUUCUUUUAUUUGGUAUGGUAAAGCUACACAAUAAAAUUGGAAUAGUAGUGUUAUAUUUUUCUACAAAAUGUUAAAUUUCUACUGUAGAGAGUUAAAAAUUUUAUAGGUUUUUAGAGUGGAUGGUCAUUUUAAAUUUUUAAUAGCAGAUUCCUUUUUUCUCUUUGUACUCUUAUCGCAUGACUUCGAUCAGUCAUGAAUUGUUUUCUUUUAAAAAUAUUCUCUUGAUUAUAAUCAUCCGUCUAGCAUUACAAAAUGGGGAUUUGUAUAACUUUUUAUAAACUUAUGGACUUUAGUGUUAGAAUGUAACGGGCAUCAAACAAAUCGUUCCAAAUGAGCGAGGAACAAUAGCCUACAAUCCUUUAAUCAUAUAUAUAUAGUUUUUAUAAGUUAAAAAGUUCCAAUUUUUAAAAGCACAGGAACUUCAACAUUCGCGUCAACCUUUAAGGUUUGUCUAUAAUGGUAAAUAACUAAGAAAAUGUCAAGGCUCUAAUUAUGUGAUGAUACAGUAGUACUAAAUUCCAAAUUUUGUUGAUGAGCAGCAGAGAAGAGCGAGUAACUAGUUGGACUUUAAAAGCAUGCUAUUUGCAUUAAAUAUUCAUCAUCUUGAAAAUCAUGUCACAUCAAGUACCAACUACCAAGUAAUUGCAUAAGUUAGUAUAAUUACAUUCUCACUGCUCAUUAAUUAUAGCAAUUACUUUCCACUCCACGGAGGGCUUUCUAAUGCCUCUCAGCCAGCUUCUUAUGAAAUGACAGGUCUACCCUUUGAAAAUGUAUUCAACCUUUUUAUUAUUGAAGGGUAUAAUUAUUAUUUUAUAGAAAUUUGCCACGGAAAUUAUUCUCACAUCUGGUCAUUAGACAGAGUAUUACACCAAUGUAUUUGCUUUCUUAUACCUUGAUGAUGAUAUUUCAAUUGCGUACCAUCCCACUUGAACAUAAUGUCAGAUUGAUUUGAAGAAAUUAAGGGCUGUGUUUGGAUUAAAGAUUAUUUGAAAUUUUUUCAAAAUAACGUAUUAUGACUUUUUAGUGAAGUGAUGUCUGUUAGAUAAACCAAUGAUUUAAAAGAUAAACAGUAAUUAAAAGAACAUAUUUAUGAUGUAAUCAAAUAUUUAAAGAAAAAUGUUAUUUACACUCUCAUUUGUAGUAAUCAUACUUUCACUAUCAUUUUAAUCAUAUAAUUUUUAUUUAUUAGACUAUAUGUUAAAAUAAAUGAUGGGGUUCAAAUAACAAAAAAAAUAGAGUGAAAAUAAAUAUUUUCCUAUUUAAAUAAUGAGCUACGGAAUUUGUUAUUCCCGAUGAUUGAAGAAGAAAAGAUAAAUUGAACUGGAGGGAGAGAAAAGUAACGAAAAGAAUUAGAAAAAGAUCUCCGUCAUAAAUGAUAAAUAUAUAAAAGGUGGACACGCUGGGCUGCUGUGCGGUGUCAAAUGUACCCCACGUGAUAAAGACUGGCUUUGGGGUGCACAUGCCUCCUCAGCUCCCCGAGUCCCUAGGGAUGGCAACGGGGCGGGGUUGGGGCGGGGGACCCCUCCCCCGUCCCCCGCCCCGUUGCCUAUUAGUUCCCCCCGUCCCCCGUUCCGUCCCCCGCCUCCUGCUCCCCCCGCCCCGCUUCCCCCGCGGGUGCCCCCGCGGGGUUAAUAAAAUUUUAUUAUAUAAUUUUAUUAUAAUUAAAUUUUAAUAAAUAAUCAAGUACUAAAAUAUCAACACAUCACCAAAUUAUUAUUCAUUGUAAUUUUACAAUUGAAACUCAUAAAAACAAUCAAACAGAAGUUAUUUGAAUACAAUCCAAUAUGACGAAAUAAAUAUAACUAAAAUAGUCAAGUUUUCACUUUUAGUACAAAUGCAAUCACUAAUUCAUUAUUGUGUUUGUGCUUUUUUUUUAGAAAAAAGUGUUAUUCUAUUAAGUGUAAUUAGAAAUUUAGUAUAAAUAUAUUAGUAAAUUUAGUAUAACUAAUUAAUAAAUUCUAUUAGUAGACAUGUAGAAUUAUUCAUAUAAUUGAUUAUAUCAAUUAUAUUACAUAAACUAAUAUACAUUAUAUAAUAUAGCUAACUAAUAAUAUCAUUAUCAUAAAUUUAUAACUAAUUAACUUACAUGUUAUAUAUAAUUAUAUAUAUUUAUAUUUUUUUUUUGUUUUGCGGGGGGCGGGGCGGGGGUAUACUCCCCCGCCCCCCGCCCCGUUUCUAAGCGGGGGGAAAAAAUUCCCCCCCGCCCCGAGAGCCCCCCGCGGGGCGGGCACCCGCGGGCACCCGCCCCCAUUGCCAUCCCUACGAGUCCCUCUAAUUUCAUAAAACUUACAUUUAUUUCAACUUUUUCAUUAGCAUAACUAAUCACCCUUAUAAUCUUAUUGGAUUUCUAAUCACUGGGUCUGUUUGGAUAGGUUAUUAUUUGAGGAAUUAUUUGAAAUAAUUACUGUAGCACUUUUUGUGAUGUGAUGUAUGUGAAAUAAAAGGCGAGUUGAAAAUAUAAAAAGGUGAGUUAGAAAAUAUGUAUUACUCCCUCCGUCCCAUUUUGAUAGUCAUGUUUCUUUUUUCACACAGUUUAAGAAAAAGUAGUUAACUUUGUUGGAAAAGUAAAUUUAGAUUGCUAUUUCCUAAAAUACCCUCACAUUAAAUAUGGUACAAUUUUAUGGGAACUUGAAUUGAUGGUAAAAAAAGAAUCAACUCUCAUUAAAUAGGAUAGGUUUAUAGUAAUAACUACUUACAUUGAAUGAGGGUAUUUUAGAAAAAUUAAAAUACAACUACAUUCUUCAAUUGGAAAGUGGACUACAAUUUGGGACGGAUGAAAAAGGAAUACAGGACUAUCAAAGUGGGACGGAGGGAGUAUGAUACAAGCAAAAUGUAGUUUGGGAUAAUUUCAAUAUCUCAGAGUCUGUUUGUUUGAACUGAAAAUAUUUUCCAAAAAAUAUUUUUGGAUUUUCUGGUGUUUGGCAGCAAAAAUUGUCGGGAAAAUAUUUUCCAGUGUAAAAUCUUUUACACUACAAGGUGUAAAAUGACUUACGGAGCAGGCAUACGGAAGUUAAUUUCCAUCAAACUUAGCGUAUCAAUCAUUUCAGCGCUUACUUAUCAAAAUGCUCAUAACAAAUAAGAAAUACCAAACUGAGACCAUCGUUAAAAAUGCAUCCUUACACCUGCAAUGAAAAACACCAUUGUCAGCCACCUUUCCCUCCUCCUCAUAUUCGCCAAUUCUACUCCUUUUCUCCCAUGCCAGCAUAAACAAUGCAUCCAUGGAGAUGUAGAAAAUCUAUACCAAGAGUGGGUGUUGAUAAGUUUUUGGGUGAGAGAAAUUUGGAAAAGUGAAGGAGAAAUUUGGAAGACUAUUGUGCAGAAAAGUUUGUACUAGAAUUCAAGUGCUACUUUUCCAUAUGAUGUUUGAUCAAUUAUAGUUUAAUUACUGAAGCAAUUUUCGUUGACAUAUUAUGAAUUUGAAUCUUCAUUGGUAUGCUGUGUAAUUGAUUUGAGAAACUAUGAAUUCCCAAUUCUAGAGUUUGAUAGAUUUGGAGAUUGGAUGGAAUCUCUGGGUUGAGAACUUGAGAUGGUAAAUCCAAUGUACAUGGGAUGGUGGUAAUUGGAGAGACUCUAUGGGGAAUCCUUCUUGUAGGUUUUAGUUUUGUGGUACAUUUUCAUAAAACUGCACCAAACACAUGAAAAUAAAGGGAAAUGAAAAUUUUUUCACGAAAAUUAUUUUCAUUGAAAAUGUUCUCCUCAGGAAAAAAUUUUACAUUGAAACAAACAGACUCUUAUUGAUCAUCCUUUUACAUUGUACUACUGUUUCCAUGGGGUGAAAAAAAAUGGCUGAGACAAAAAAAACAAGGCAUAAAAGAAAUUUUGGAGGCGUCAGUAUGGUUUUGCUGAGAUUGGAUAAGUUUUCCUUUUUUUAAUAACACAAAAAGGCCCUCUCCUAGAUGAUUUAAACAAUUCAAGAUUUUUAAUGGAAUAGAUUGUGCGCUAGCAUGUACUAAAAUCCAUAAUUCAUCACGUUUGAAUUUUUAAGUUAUAUUUCCCCCUCUCUCUCUCUCUCUCACACACACACACACACACACAUAUAUAUAUAUAUAUAUAUAUAUAUAUGUUUCCUCAAACUUGAAAUCGAAUUAUUAUUCAUUACCUACAAACUUUUCAAGUUUCAACAGCUCGUGGCUUAAAAAAAUGAGCUCGUUGGAAAAAGAAAAAAAACUGGAGGCAUCCAGUUCUCUGUCCCACUUUGCCCUCCAAGUGCUCGUAGAAACACAUUUCUGCCAUGAAAAAUGAAAAAAAAAAAGAAAAGAGAAGAUAAUCAAGAGAAUGUGUAUAUGUAUCACACAAAAAUAUGCAUUGUAUUGUCAAGACAUUAGCAUUGUAGCACAAGGAAAAUCUAUUUUGUAAUUGUAACUUUUCUUAAGUCACCACCAGGCUAAUUAAUCUGACAACGUAGAAUGGUGGAUUUCGUCAAACCACCGGGAGCAUAGCUCUCUAGUAUUGCAUGUGCGUGUACAGGUACUUGUAUGUCUUACGAAGGAUAACAUAUAAGGCCUGAUAAAUAAAUUCAGCAUUUAAAUUUAAUAGAUUUAUAUUUUAAUAUGUUAAGACGUGUUUUAUAGUCACAAAUUGAAUAUCUGAAUUAAUUAAAGUAACAUUAAAUUUUUUAAACAAAAUUUGCUCUCAAAAAUAAGUGAUGAGCUAUUUACUUAUCACUGAAUGUGAUAUACACUCAAAUAUAUUUGAUUUAACAUUUAACAAUUCAAUAAUUUAAUGAAUUCAUAAUUCAAAUUUCAAACUUUAAUUCUAUCAAAUGCACCCUUAAGUGAACACAACAACCCAACUAAUCUAGUAAAAAAAAUUAAUGGGCUGCUGAUUGAAUGGGGCAUUAGAGCACUCUAAUUCCGAUAUCAACAUCAUUCAACUAUAUGUACGACAGCUCUGGGUGAGAGAUAGUUAUAUUUGAACUUGGACGGUGGGGAUUAAAUUUUAGGCAUAAAUUGUAAUAAGCGAAAAAAUGUUAUUGUAUUUUGUCAUUUUAACAUCUACAUUUAUCGAAUUUGCGUCUACGCCAUCUAGCAAUGGUAGAACCUUUGAUCCGAAAGAGAGGAAAGUGAGUAUCCACAUGCAAGACAGGUGCAUAUCUGACAGAUUAUUGAAAAAGUUAGCUCUUUACUUUCUUCCCCAGUUUGAUCAACCAAACCAUCUUUUUCCUUCUUUUUUCUUUUUUCCCUUUCAUUUUCUCUUCUCUUUCUGGGUAGAAAUCACCCAGCCCAUCUACUUUCACAUGCCGACUACUUGAGUGCGUACAUCUUUUACGUUUUGUUUGCAGAUGCAUGCAUUCUCUACUUGUAGCUCAUGUAAGAAAGCUAACUUUCAAGUAUAUAAGCUUAUGUAAGAAAAUUUGCAAAUAGACCAUUAUUGAUUCCGGGAAAAAACAUUGCCUUUGUUUGAAUAAUUACUAUAACAUUUUUGUAAUGUGAUGGAAGUGAGAUAAAAAUGUGGUUGGAAACAUAAAAUAAUACUACUACAACAGUUAUGUAGGCAAUGAUGCUGUGUCAGGUGAUCUACAAACUUGGCUCGUACUCUACUAAUAUGCUUAGUACGCUUUACUUCUCUUCUUCUUUUUGGCUGCAAGAGCCAACUUUCACGGUUUCGGUUGUAACUCAACUCAGUGGCUUAAUUUGAUUCUGCCUCUGCUGCAACUCCCAGUGGAAUGACAAAAAAUUGCAGGUAGAUUUCUACGUUGCAUUAUCCUGAUAGGCAGGCAGGGGUGUAUCAGUUUUUGGUGGUGGACCUGUCACUUUCUUGGUUAAGAUAUUACACUAAAUUUGUAUACUACGAAAGGGAGAUGCCCCUUGUGCUAAAAGAUGCCUACCAGAAGAAUGUACAAUUCGACAUGAUUGCCACCUCCUGCGUUUUCAUCGUAUAAUGAACCUUGCGGGUAAUAGACUACAAACACAAAUCGCACGACGCCUUGACAUUUCCAACCAACCCCUUUAGAAUGGAUUUAACUGUGCUAUGCUCAGCAAAAUUAUGUAACAAAUGAAAAAGUAUUAUAGGAUUUAGAAAACAGAAAAACCAGCCAGUUCAUCAUGCCUACUACCCGGUUGGUCCCAAAUGGUGGACGGUCACUUCCAUUUGGUACCUACUUUUCAUUGCUGAUUGAAGGUGUACAAGACAGGGUCACCUGUUCACGUGGAUUUAGGAAUUCGAGUGAUUCUGUCCAUCGGGCGAUGCACGCUGGAAUUGGUCUAUGAGGGAGGUGGUGUUGGUCUUGAGUUGGAGGAUGCUUGUGUCGUACGAAACGUGAAUUCUGCUUUAGUUCAUUGGAAGUAAAGAAAAGGAAAUUUAUCCCUAAAUUAUUAAGAAAUUGGUAGGGAGCUCGACUAUUUAAAAAAAAAUUUUUUUUAAACAAUACUAUAAUAUUUGCACUGCACGUUUUGUUAGUCGCACUUCCACCAUUUGUUUUAUCAUAUAAUCUAAUAAAUAAAAAUUACUUUUAUCAUUUAUUUUAUCAUAUAAUCUAAUAAAUAAAAUCAUAUAACAAAAAUGGCGUUUGUUUUAUCAUAUAAUUUAAUAAAUAAAAAUCACUACAUAUAAUAAAAAAUGACAGUGGUGAGGGUGCGAUUAAUAAAAAUGGGAGGGCAAAAUUCUCCUUCUCAAAUAUGGAUCCCAAAUGUUAUCCAACACAUAAAAAGAGGGAAAGUUAACAUUGGCACAGGUUUCCGCUGUCCAUCGGGCGAUGCACGCUGGAAUUGGUCUAUGAGGGAGGUGGUGUUGGUCUUGAGUUGGAGGAUGCUUGUGUCGUACGAAACGUGAAUUCUGCUUUAGUUCAUUGGAAGUAAAGAAAAGGAAAUUUAUCCCUAAAUUAUUAAGAAAUUGGCAGGGAGCUCGACUAUUUUUUAAAAAUUUUAUUUAAAACAACACUUUAAUAUUUGCACUGCACGUUUUGUUAGCCGCACUUCCACCAUUUGUUUUAUCAUAUAAUCUAAUAGAUAAAAAUUACUUUUAUCAUUUAUUUUAUCAUAUAAUCUAAUAAAUAAAAAUCAUAUAACAAAAAAUGGCGUUUGUUUUAUCAUAUAAUUUAAUAAAUAAAAAUCACUACAUAUAAUAAAAAAUGACAGUGGUGAGGGUGCGAUUAAUAAAAAUGGGAGGGCAAAAUUCUCCUUCUCAAAUAUGGAUCCCAAAUGUUAUCCAACACAUAAAAAGAGGGAAAGUUAACAUUGGCACAGGUUUCCGCUUCUCUGGCCCUAUUGGAAUUCGGUUGGGGGAUUGGACCAAAUACUAGUUGAAUUUUAAAAGCGUGCUCUUCUUGAAAAUCAUGUCACAUCAAAUACCAUUUUUUUUUAAGCUCGAGACCCUCACUUGAUUUCGAUGCAACGGAUCUUCUGUACCAUAUCCUAUCUCACAUCCUGUCUCACUCCUUAAAAUCUCGCCAAGUGUCCCUUAAUAAACCAAACCCUUAAACAAUUCAACUCGGACCAUAUUAAGUUAAUUAAUCGAUUAAUCGGACAAAGAAAUUUAAUCUCUUUAACCAAUAUAACCAAAACCAAGAAAAUAAAAAACUCUUUAACCAAAAUCACAAUUUUUCAACGGAAAAAACCCUAAAAUAUUAAAAAACCUCUGUCCGAGUUCAUCAUCUUCACCAUUCAGCUUUGACGAAAUAUUCACGGAUAAAGCUUCGAAGCUCUUCCCAGAGGUGAGAAACAAGUUAUUUCUUAAAAACCUUGGUGGGGUUCUUCGAAGCUCUUCGCAGGCCAAUUUGAUGUGAUUUGCUAAGCUUAGGCACUUGAUCUAGUUUUCAGCUUCAAAUUGGUCUGUUGAUACACACCUUUGAAUUAGUUUUGCUAUAUCCUCAAUUGCAGGGAAGAAGUAAGAAAUUGGUUAUAUUCUCUAGUGUGUCUGUUUUAGUGUUUUGGAACUUAGGUGUAGAUGAUUUUGGAGGGUAACAAGUUUGCGUUUAUCUUUUGCUGAUUGAGGGAAUUUUUCUUCUAAUUUGCAGCUUCCAGUCUGAAUGUUUCAUCUGUUAAAUUGUCUGAAAAUUCGGUAUCUGCUGGACGAAGCACACCACCUGUUCGAUCAAAUGCCUAAGAGGAAGAUGAAUCAAACUGUAAGGUAAAAGUCUGACUUGGUUGCGCCCAUAUUUUUGCUAGUAGAGCAAAACCUCUACUUCAAAUGUUGUCUACCAUUUUAACCUUUUUUCCCCUCAAAUGUUAAAUAUGUGCCAUUUGGAUAAAUUGCCAUUUUCAUAUUUCAUUUGUUUCAAUCAAUGUUUUCCGUAGCAGAUUUUUUGGGUUCGUCUCGAACUUUCUUUUCCUCCAAUCAACUCUGUGUUCUCAAUUUUUUCUAGUUUCAUCUUCCUAGAAAGGAAAAUGGAGUGCAAUAUUGAAAACUCUAUAAACUCUGAGAAAAAGUGAUCAAGGUUUGACAAUUUAUUUUGUUUAUGUGAACAAUGCUAUUUUAUUGUUUGACUAUUAUUUUUUUUUGGUUCCUUAGUUCUACGAUGAAUGAUGAGCAUGGAAAUAGUAUUGGGAUCCUUAUUUAUAAUUUGGAUAAAAAUGAUUGUAGGAAUCUGGAAAUAAUGUUGUUCAUUCAAGUAUGGAUUCUAUUACAAUUCAAGGUUUUGUUCGAGAAUUACCACCACAACAGGUUUAGUUAUUCGUCAUUUUUCUCGUGUAUAGUAUAGUAGAUAUGUAAUUCAUUCUAAAUUUUUAUUUGAAUAUUUUAUUCUUAAAUGACUAAACUACAUUGAAGGUAUAUUUUGUCAAUGAUAUUUUUAAUUCGUGAUUGUCUCUCUUUAAUUAUAUCAGGGAUUUGGAAUUCCAAUAGAAGACUCUUGCACCCUUUUGUCCAGAUGAAGAUUUAUAACCAGCCAUGUAUGCUCCCUCAGCUCGCAAGAGGGGCACUCAGUUUGGAUAGAACAGGUUUUCCAUCGGUCAGGCUUCUUAAAAGGACGCCGGGAUGAUGGUCACAUGCUUCAUGUUGCCUGUGACACGGAAAUGCGCUAGGGAGAUAUUUGUACUUUCACAGUUUCUUUGCUUGCAAUAAAAAGAUAUUUACUUAAAAAAAAAAAAGAAUUCCAAUAGAAGACAUCUGCAAUAGGCAAAAUACUAAGAACAUGACACAAUUAUUACAAGUAAGUGAAUAUUAUGCUUUUUGUAGAUAUUAUGUCAACCAUUAGUUGCAUGUUGUUUCUUAUCUAUCUCAAUUUUUUCCAAAUAUUAUAGUUUUGCAAGUUUACAGCUGUUUGUUUGUAUUUGUGGUCUUUUAUUUCUUAUUUUUCUGACAGACGUUGAACCCUAACUUCUACCAAGGCUAUGAUUUGAUGUCUUCAAGUUCAAUAGCACAACAGCAUGCAUCAAUAAGUUUAGUCCAAGUAAGGAAAAACCUUGAUUAAUUAUUUAAUCUUAUAUAUAUUAGUUUGAUAAUUUACAAUUAUAAUUCAAUAUAUUUGCUAACUUUGGGUCUGUUUUUGUAGGCACAAGAACUUGAAAAUAAUGAUGAUUCUGAUCAACAAGUUGUUGAAAAUGGGAAAAUUGAAUGAAGAUGCUUAUGAAGAAAUGGAGGACAAGACUGUGGGAUUGCGCUCAUGGAUUAAUUAGACCUUUAAGUGGAAUAAUACUUUGUGCUUAUACUUAUUGAUUUUGAUAUUUUUGUUCAAAUAUCUGUUAAUAAACGUUCUUCUGACUAAACUGUAGAACAUGAGAUAUAUUAGUUGAGCUGCCCUGGAUUCUUGAUGCAUACAAGAAAUCGUCUUUUGAAUGUUCCUCAGCUUUGCAUUUGUUUAACCAUACAAUAAGAAAACCCAGAUUUUUGUUUGGCUUUUAGAUUAAUUUUGCAACUUGAGUAGACAGAAAUUAGAGAAAACCAGCAAAAUAAAGCUGCAUUUUCGUUCCUUUUUUUUUUCUUCUUCUUUAAUGUUUGAGCUACCACGCUAUUUUUUCAAUGUCAGUAAGAUUUUGCAUCGGACUUUAUUCUGCAGGAGAGAGACUUGUCUUAAGAUUGAUCCUUAGACUCACAAGUCAAACAACUAAAGCUUAUAACCUUACCAAGGUACUCCGAAAACUUGUUCUCUGAUUCUAAACAACUCGGGACCAAUCUCGUAUUUGACUGUUGACACCAAAUUGUAUAUAUAAUCCAUAUAACAAUGCUGAAAUUCCCGAAAUAUGUCCAUAAACCAGGCCCUGUACACCUCUUAUUCGAAUGGAAGGAUAAGAUUCAGCAACAAUUUAAAUGCAGAUCCUCUACUAAUAGUAAAAACAAGUACAAACUCAUUCUCAAGAAUGUUCAAGUAAUCCAUAAUUUUGGUUUUAAUAUCAUGCUCCACAGUACCUUCCUCUGCACCCCAAUGAAGUACAUGAUUGCUCAAAUUUGCAGUAAUUUCCUUUAAGCUAAAUGUAGAUGAAUCCCAAUACUGUAGCGUUUGAAAACAAGAAAACAACCCGUACAAAGUCAAUUCUCAAUGAUCAAUUGUUUCUCAACAUUGGAACUUUGGGUACAAAGUCAAGAACCAACAAGAAGGCUUCAUUAAAGCCAGGAAUGGAUUCAUCAGUGCAAAAUGUCCUUUCAGACAAAAGAGUAGUUGCCCUCAAGAAUUCCUUUGGGCAUUAAGCCUUGCAAGAGAUAUUGACCUUCCCAAGCAGCCAUCUUGAUUCAAAGACUCAGAGUCAAUUUCAUGUGUUUUUACGAAGUGACCCAUCUUCAGAAGCCUCCUCGAGAGCCCCCCUUAGUUUGUUCUCCGGCGAAUUCUUGAGAGUUGAUGGCUCUGCCUUACCCCACUCCUCAUCCUCCUCCACGCAAGAACCUUUUCCUCUCCUACUCUUCUUGUCCAUCAUCAAGGUUGCACAGAAUGAUAUAGGCUUCCAUAGUCUCAGAUGCAGUAACACGAAUUAGUUCCAGUUGACUGCAAAAACCUAUCAUCAUAUCAUAUACCCCUGCAGUAUUAGGGAAAAAGUUACAAGCUUUACAUGAUUGAAGCUUCGUUAUGCAUGACAUUCUGCAAAUAAGAGAUUACAAUUAUCUAAGUUACAUAAUUUUCAUAAACAUUGAACUUUGUAAACAGUAACAAUGAAGUGAAUGAAUACAUAAACCCUGUAACUAGUCACACUAAUGCAUGUCAAGAUGGCACCUCUAUCCAUAUACACCAAAACCAGAAAACCAUUGCAAUUUGCUGCAGCAAAUGUAACUUUAAAAUUAUCGGUAAAGUUAUCCUUUAAAAUUUAGAAAAACUAAACGUAACAAAAGAACUUUGGGGGAAAGAGAGAGAGAGACCAUUUCUCUGUUAGUUGCACAGCACCCCACAAAGAAUUUGAAAAGCAUGGUGAUUAAAACAAGGAAAUUCUUCAUUUUUCAGACACAGGAUAAAAAUUGUUAUGCAGUUUCUAGCUUCUUUUUUGAGCUCACCAUUUAAUAAAGCUUGACAAGUUAUAAGGAUGGCCUACUGAGUACAAUCAUCAGUAGUAAAACAAUGAUCACACAUGUUUCUUGGCUUUAAUUCAUAGUUACAGAAUAAAAAAAAGAGCGUUUUUUUGAGAAGCACUUACCUUUAGGCCUUAUCAGGUUUUAGAUGAUCUCAUCUGCCAAAGACAGAGAUAGAUUUCCCAAAUGAAACCAGCAGGUUGACCAAUAAUACUACUACGACUAAUCAAGAUUAUGAAUCAAAGACCAUCCAUUCAUUGUUGAUCAAUAAUACUACGACUAAUCUAAGAUUAUGAAUCAGCAUUUGAUAAAAAUUUCAACUCAUGGACUAAUUAUCAAAUGCAUCAAAUAAAUUUGCGACACGAAAGAGUAGAAGGGAGACAAGAAUCGCAUGUGCCAGCACAAAAAAGUAACCAUCAUGCAAACUUUAACAUAUUUUCUAACUACUAAUUACAAGCCUACGGGUAGUCCUAAUAAACAAAAUCAAACGUAUAAAACGCAAAACACCCUCCUAAUAAAUAUAGGCGCAACCAAGUCAGACUUUUACCUUAUAGUUUGAUUCAUCUUCCUCUUAGGCAUUUGAUCGAACAGCUGGUGAGCUUCGUCCAGUACAUACCGAAUUUUCAGAAAAUUUAACAGAUGAAACAUUUGGAGUGGAAGCUGCAAAUUAGAAGAAAAAUUCCCUUAAUCAGCAAAAGAUAAAGGCAAACUUGUUACCCUCCCAAAAUCAUCUACACCUAAGUUCCAAAACACUAAAACAGAGACACUAGAGAAUAUAACCAAUUUCUUACUACUACACACAUGCAGUUGAGGAUAUAGCAAAACUAAUUCAACGGUGUGUAUCUAUACCGAUUUGAAGUUGAAAACUAGAUUAAGUGCCUAAGCUUAGCAAAUUACAUCAAAUUGGCCUGCGUAGCUAGAAAGAAAAUGCCCUGAAAGCAAAUUAUUUUUUAAAAAAAAGUUGCAAAGAUUACCGGAACCGUUCAAAUUCUGGAGGUAGCAAAAUUAAGUCGCAUGCUCAAACAAAACUUCGGAAGCGGAAGUACCCAUUACCCAGUACAACUUUACACUAAAACUAAAUAUUUGUUUCUCACCUUUGGGAAGAGCUUCGAAGCUUUAUCUCAUCCUCGUAAAAAAGUUAUUUCUCAUGGGAAGAGAUGAUGAAGAGGACAGAGGACCUCUGGGAAGAGCUUCGAAGCUUUAUCUGUGAAUAUUUCGUCAAAGCUAAAUGGUGAAGAUGAUGAACUCGGACAGAGGUUUUUAAUAUUUUAGGGUUUUUCCGUUGAAAAAUUGUGAUUUUGGUUAAAGAGUUUUUUUUCUUGGUUUUGGUUAUAUUGGUUAAAGAGAUUAAAUUUCUUUGUCCGAUUAAUUGAUUAAUUAAUUUAAUAUGAUUCGAGUUGAGUUGUUUGAGGUUUGGUUUAUUAUGGGACACUUGGUGAGAUUUUAAGAAGUGGGACAGGAUGUGAGACGGGGUGUGGUACAGAAGAUCCGUUGCGUGAUUUCGAGCCCGAUAACUUUCAGUUACACUCCUUCCUCGUAUCAUCCACUACUCAGUAAUUGUAGCAAUUACUUUCCAUUCCACGGCUGGCUUUCUAAUGCCACACCUAGUUUCUUUUGAAAUGGCAAAUUUGCAUUGCUUGGAUUAUUUGUUUCCGUCGGAAAAUAUUGUCUUUUUUCGUGAUUACAUUUUCCUAUCACCUUUUUCCCUCACAUAUAUCAAAUCGUUACAGUAAUUUUUCCAUGAAAAAUGACAGAAAAUGUAAUCCAAAUACAACCUUAUACUUUUCAAAGUGUAUCAACUUUUAUUAUUGAAGGACAUAAUUGUUAUUUUAAUAGAUAUUUGCUAUGGAAAAAAAAGGGUGCUAUGGAUGUAUCAUUUGCCAUUUAUAUUAUGAUCCGAAUUCCAACUGAAUACUUCAACAUGUAAUUCUAAUUUAGGAAGUUAUUCCUAAACCUAGUCAUUGGUAUUACACCAAUGUGAUUGCUUUAUUAUACCUUGAUGAUUUUUCAAUUGUGUACCAUCCCAUUUUUUUAUCAAGAUAUGAAACCAUGACACAGUGUCGAUGGAUUUAAAAAAAAAAAAAUUAAAUAUGCUUCUUUAUUUUUCAAAGUUAGGCCCAACAAAUUUAAAAGGCAUACAUGUAAAUUGAAUUAGUAUACAAUCUUUUCUUCUCAUCCUUCUUCAACUUCCAAACAAAAGAGAAUUAAGACCUUUUUUUUUAAACUCCCAACCAAAUUACAUAUUUCCUCUUCUUUCUUAUCUCUCAUCUUUGCUGUAUAUAAAGUCAUUUUGUGAUAAAAGAAAGUGCCACUCGAUGUUUUACAAAUUUACCCCAUUUUUUACAGGGCACUACUCCACUUAAUACUAUCAAAAGAAAAAAACCCCACACUUACUUAAAAACCUUCUAGUUUUAAGGCUUUUAACCACCUGUGUAUAACCAACUAAAAACCAUCAAUUGGAUUAGAACCAAGAAAAGGAAAAAAGUGCAAAAAGUCAACAGAUUAUUUCAAGUAAAACUACUAAUUUUCAUUUUUUUGAUAAAAAAAACGAGGGUAAACUACACUUUAACUCCGUAUGGUUUAGCAAUUUUCACAUAACCUUCGUGUGGUUUCAAAAGCUACACGUGAUCUCCUUAUGAUUUAGAUUAAAGUGUUAAAGUAAUGAAAUUCUGCAUUACAUAUAAUCUCAACAAAUUAUUUUAGGCGAAGUUUCAUGAUAUUUUUACGAGCUUUCCAUAUUUGAUAAUCUAUUUAUUUCGAUAUUGAUUGGGUUAAAGUGGCAUAUGUAAUGCGAUGUGGAAUUGCGCUUGACUUGGAUGGGCGCCGAUCCACAGUUUUAUGAAGUUUGGGAUGUCUCGAUCCCUCGAUGUCCAAGGAGCAUAAUUUUGUAUGCAACUACGGUUGUGUUAAGAUUGUAAUUUAAAAAAAAAAAUUUUUGUAGAAAUGAAUUAUAAUGAUUUGAUAUGUGUAAGAUAAAAAUGAUUUGAAAAUGUAGAGAUUUUUUUGAUGAAAAAUUCAUUUCUAAACAAGGCAACAUUCAUGUACGUAUAUAUCAAGCUUUAAAAUUCAAGCAGCACGAGCUUUACAAAUAACUGGCAACUGCCAGCUAGUCUUUGUGCGCAUCCAAAUUGAGCUACAUCGUAAGGAGCCCUUCUCUAGGUUUCAUGUUAGAGGUUAACAGCCAUUUUGGCUAACCUAUGACUACACAUGUUCACUUCUCUUCCGAUGAAGGAGAAGUUACAUUUUGCCAAAAAGGGUUUACUAAGGGAUGUAAUAUCACCGCUACUUACAAUAUCUAUAGUGGAAGUGCAUAGCAGCUUUGGUUAAUUAUAAAUGUCUACAACAGAUUUAUAAUCAGACAGGAUCAACACAUCCUCCAAUUUAACAAGGAACUCAAAAUAAAUACAGUGAUUCAUGGUAAAUUUCCCACUGUAUUUGUCUUCUCGAAAUUCAGCCGGUUGCUCAUUUCAUCACACCAAAAGAUUUUGACUCUAAAAAAGGGCAAAAAAAAAAAACCUGAAAAUCCAAACAUCAGCUCUUGUGUUCGAGCUUAUAAGGUCAAGCCUCGAACACUACACGACAACCGGCCUUUUUCCUUUUAGCUAUAUAGCACAAUCCGCACCUUAAAUAUUAAACUCAUUUCUAUCGUCGAUAACCUUGCAAUCUACGGCUCCGAUCUUAGCUUACCCUCUUCGACGCGGAUUGAAAAUGUUGUCCGUCGAUUAGCAUCACAAUAUCAACGGCCCGGUUCGCUGCCCGCCACAAUUCGAAGCCGCUACCUCGCCAAUAUAUAGCAAUCCCACCCGCUGUCAAAACUCGUUCAAAUAUUUUUAUUUCCAAUUGUUCUCUCAGAGAAUUUCAGAAAACCCUAGAAUUCAAAAUCUCCUCCCACCUUCUCUGCAAAAAUGUCUGGCCGUGGAAAGGGUGGCAAGGGUCUGGGCAAGGGCGGAGCCAAGAGGCACAGGAAGGUUCUAAGGGAUAACAUCCAGGGCAUCACCAAGCCAGCCAUUCGUCGUUUGGCCAGAAGAGGCGGCGUCAAGAGAAUUUCUGGGCUGAUCUAUGAAGAACCCGUGGAGUCCUGAAGAUUUUCCUGGAGAAUGUCAUCCGUGAUGCUGUGACCUACACGGAGCAUGCUCGCCGCAAGACUGUUACUGCUAUGGACGUGGUUUAUGCUUUGAAGAGGCAGGGUAGGACUCUUUAUGGAUUUGGGGGUUAGGUUUCUCGUUAGUGCUCGAAUUGGGUUGGGGAAGGGGGAUUGGUAGGUUAUCUUUUGUUAUUGAGAUUGAGCUUACAUUGUAAUUAACAUUACAUUUGCAGAUCAAUGGAUGUUAGGAUUUCCACUAGUUGGACAAUUAUGAUGACUAUUGAGGAACUGAGCAUUCAUUUUCCUGAACUUUCUCGUUUGAGCAGCAACUCUUUAUGUUGUUGACAUGAAUUUAUCUUUGUUAGUGAUCUUUGCAGGGCCUUUUGUUUUGCUAUGUUCAUUCGAUGCAUUGUCUUGCCUUUAUGUUUGAUGAGAAUGUGAUUGUUUAAACGUGCAGCCUAGCUGUGGUUUCUUAUGGUUGAAAUGGCCUUGGUUGUGAAAUAUUGAGUAUUUUUUACUUAGUUGUCGUUUGACUCAUGGAUUGCUUAAAUGACGAGUUUGUUUUAGGAUUUGCAUUGCUAUGUAUUUGGUGGAUGUCCUCUGUUUCCUGCCUUUGGUCAAUGGCCUUUUGGUUACUACCUACUUGGUCAAGUUACUGCAGAUAUUGAAAUUCUGAGCGGUUUCAUCUUCUUACCAUUGGAUCUAUUUGAUGUUGAAGGCAGUUUUUGGCUGUGGCGAUGUGUUGGUGCGGUUUUAACACAAGCAGACCUUAACUUGAGUGAUAUGAAUAAUAACACCAGUGCUCUGAUUGACAGUACUGCAAUCUAACAGAAAGUUUGUCUCCUUAUUGGUUCUUGAACUCAACUUUGCAGUUUGGAGAAAAGAUUGAAACAGGGGCCAUACAAACUUUAGGACUUAGACCUGGGACAAUGAUAGGCCAUUCAAUUACUGUGUUUGGUUUAGAGAUUACAUUUGAAUUUUUGUUUUAUGUAGUGUUAAUGGCUGAGGGCUUUAUUGCUGCUGUUGCUGUUUUGCUAUGUGGUUUGUCUAAAUGCUCUAAUUGCCAGGUUUCUAUUAUCUUGUUUGCCUUUAAAAUGUAACUGAAAACUUUUCUUGAGAUUUUGUGGAGUUUUGGGAGAUUUUGCAAGUGGUGACAAUAACAUUGGCUUUUGCCUUGGACAUAUGAAUCAUUAUAGGCACUUAGACUUGUUCGUUCAAUAGAUUAACAUUGUAGAGUUAUGUAAUAAGCCUGCUGCCUGCAUCCUUGCUUGGAAGAUGCCUUUGCAGUCUGACAUUAAUCAAAACCAUUUAUGAGCUGUAUAAAUUAACAGAUCUUGCUCUGCUGAGCUCUAGCUUCAUUUGCCUCCGCAUUUCACUUAAAAUUUUGAAAGCAUUUGACUUGAUUUAUGUAUGCUUUCAACUGAAAACAUAAACAAACAGAUCAACCUGUCACUAAUAUUUUUGAGUUGCAAGCUGAAGACAUUUGUGAUUGAGAUUGUUUCAGGGUGGGGGAAUCCUUGGCUGUUUCAACGGGAGCAUAUGUGCUCUCUCUGUGGACUAGCUUUAUCAUGCAUGUAUCGUCCUAUUGCUAUUUUGCUCACAAUGAGUAAUGGACGGGACAAGUUUGCUCCGCUGCAGUGGAGUCGACAAACUUGUUUAGUUAUGACGUCUCAAGUUAAAACCAAUGCUCCCCUUUUAUUCUCACUGCUAUUUUUGUGGUCUUUAUUUUCCCGCAGUGCAACCCAUGACCAACAAACUUGUGGAAGAUGAAAUUAAGGAUCUCCUCUGGUGCGUAUUGUUUUUUUCGUGGUCCAGUUCACGGCAUUCCAGGAAUCGAAAUCGUGCAACAAUGAAUGACUUGUACAGCUGAUAGCUGUAUACUUAUCAAUGCAAUUGAAUUCUAAUAGCCAAGUAUUUUGGAUUCUCAAAUAGAUGCACAACAAAUCGGGGGUCAAGAUGAGGUUUUUUUUUUUUUUUUUUUGGUAAUCUGAUUGUUUUUGAAUCUAUUCGAUUAAUUAAAUAGAUGCGCCACAAUUCAAUUCUGUUUCUUUGAUGUGUAUUAACUUAAUUUUAAUUAACAACAUCUCCUCUUUUCUUUUACAGGCUAGCAUCUAAACCUUGGUUGCCUGCUUUAGUUCGUUAAUAAAAUAUCUCCAAUCAUUCUAUCCUCGAAAACGAACAGAAAAGCUGUAAAUUUGUUCCCGAAUGAGUAGAUUAGCAGAGGUUACGUUUAAGAUCAGCUGUAAUUCUUGCACAUGAUAUUCCCACAUAAACAGUGCAACCGCCACUGCAAAAAAGGAGAAUGACCUCUAUCUACACGAGUUUUUGCUACAGUAACAUUUUAUUAGUCAAGGGUUCACAGCUCAGAAUCACUGUAUAAAUGCAUUCUACUGGCUAGGCCUCCAUACCCAAAUCUCCAGCAUAAAAUAAUCGCACUUGCUCGGAAUCUGCUUCAAUGGAUUCCUCCAAAGUUUUUAUUAGUCUUUUCACUCUUAUUAAAGUCAUAAUCUGUUUGUGCUCAAUCCAAGCUGUUUCUGCAUCACAGUCAAACCUUUUCCGAGAAUACAUUGGGGCAGAGUUCAAGAAUGUCAAAUUCUCUGACGUACCAGUUUACUCCAAUGUCGACUUCCACU
rnacentral:lncRNA from 1 species